AAUUUGGCUAUUUUAGUGGUCAAGUGAAUGUGGUUUUUUUUUUUUUUUUUGAGAGAGAGAAAUGUAGCAUGCUACCCGCUUCGUUUAUUUUUUUAGUAAUAAACUUAGCUAGAAAUAUGAACAAAUAGGAUUCGAACUUGGGACCUUGGGUACCAACAACCAAACCUUUUACCACUUGUGCUUGGGACAAUCGGUGAGUGAAUGUGGUUGUUAGUUUAACAGUUAAAUGUAAUUCAAUUAAGUUGGUUUGUUAGAAAAUACUCUUUUAAAUCUUGAUCAAUAUUCGAUGUGUCUCGAAAUUUGGUUAUCGAGGUCGAUUUUGUACCCCUGAUUCACCGACAAGUUCGUUGUGCGACAAAAUUUGAGAAAAUAAUUUGUGAAGGGAAAAGGAAUGUCUGUAGUGGAAAUGAAGGGAUCGUACUCGAUAUUGAAGAAACCUAUUAGGAGCAAAUGAGUCCUCUUUCUUUUCUUUUGCCCUAGAGGCGUGUCGCAAAAUGUAAUCUCCAAAAAUUAUACGCCAUUUUUUUUCGCAUAGUGAAGUUUUCUCCUCUUUCGCCCGUCGUUCUUUUCCCUGCAAAGAGUUUCCAUAUUAAAAACUAUUGUAGCUUUUAAAUUAAAAUUUAUCAAUAAGUGAGACCAGGAUUCUUUUAGAGGAUUUAAUCCUAAAUCCUUCUUUCCCACAAUUAAUUCUCGAGCAUUUAAUUUGAUGAUUAGAACCUUCAGAAAUGUUUUGCACUAUUUCAAAUACCAAAAAUCAAAUAUCUUUGAAUUUGAAUAGUUUCUAUUUUUCCCAAAUUUGACUAUUUUAAUGGUCAAGUGAAUGUAGUUGUUAGCUUAACAAUUAAAAUAAUUUAAUUAAGUUGGAAUUUGUUAGAAAAUACUCUUUGAAAUCUUGAUCAAUGUUAGAUGUGCUUUGAAAUUUAGUUGUUGAGGUCGAUCUUGUACCCCUGAUUUACUGACAGCUUAGUAGUGUGACGAAUUUAAAAAAAAAUAAUUUGUGAAUGAAAAGGGGGUGUCCGUGGUGGAAAUAGAGGGAUCGGAUCUGAUCUCGAAGAAGUCCGUUAAAGAGCAAACGGGUCUUCUUUCUUUUCUUUUCCUCUAGAGGCGUGAUCGUAGAUUGUAAUCUCCAGAAAUUGUACUUCCUUUUCUUUUUGUAUAAUAAAGUUUUCUCUUCCUUUGCCCUUGAUUUUUUUUUUCCUACAAAAAAUUUUUCACAUGUAUUCUACUUUCUUUUACUGCUUUGUGGUUUGUCUACUUUAUUAUCGGCAUUUUCGUUUUUGUUUGUGCGCUCAUUGUAACAAUCAAAAAUGAUAUCUUUGAAUUACAUAAUAGAGAGAUCACAUGUCAUGUUUUUCAACUCAAUUCAAUUUACACCAGUCAUAUUUCGUUUAAACCAUCAAAAUUUUAUGAUUUUUAGUUUACAUGCUCUAGAUUAUUUUUCAAGUUGUUGAUACUGAAUUCAAAAAGCAAGAAUUUAGGAUCAAACCCUCUUAAAAGGAACCUAAUUUUUACUUCAACAAAAAUAAUGUACUUACUUAUGGAGGAUGCAGCUAUUUAUUCAAGAUGAAUCUUAUAUAAACAUUCAAAUUGUAAUGGUUGGACCCAGCUCAAACAGGGAACAUGUUAUGUGGACAUUUUGGAAAGCAAAAUGAACUUGGCCAUGCAUAUAUGCUACCAAAUUUGACUAUUGCUUAAGAUUGCUUUGAAUACACUGAUCAUCAUUUGGUUUUUAGUAUGCUGUAUUAUGAUCUAUUGUACUUUUGUUGAACCCUUAAGGUUCCAAAAAUGUAGGUUAUGAAUUUAGUCACAUUCCCGUUCGAUUUAGGAGCCUAAUGUGGUGCAAACUAAGAUUUCCUUGGAAUUUGUUAGAUAGUCACAUUAAAAUUAUGUAUGCAAUUAAUUCAAUGGAUGCCUCAUGUGUCUCCUUCCACCCUAUCACUACUCCAAUUAACAAAAUUGUAGUGGCGGAGGAUGAAGAGCUUAGGGCUCGAGCAAGAACAACAAAGGAACAUGUAGAUUUGGGGAGAAGAUCUAAAAUAGGGAAUAGUAGUAAUAAUGGGUCGGACGGUCAGAAUCUCAAUUCGACCUGUCAAGGCUGUUGGAUCACAGGUUGCCUGGAGCAGGCCUUCCAUUAUGAUCCACGAAGUCGGUCCACAGAGAAAGGGCAACCCACCAAGUCCAACUAUUUAAUCAAUUUUCCUCUUAAUGCCUUUCAUUUCUUUAUUUGCAUAGUAGGCAUCAUGUAAUAGCUAUAAGUAGUAGAAGGGGUAAAGUGUAAGGGUAUGAAUGGAAUUAAAAGAAUUCUUCCUCCCGAAUUCUAUCUUCUCUUUUCCUCUUUUCUCCUCUCUCCUCCCUCCUCUCUUCCACUUACCUCAUCCUCUCUCGUCAACCUCAUCCUCUUCCUUGAAUUACCAAAUUUCAGAAUCUAAGCAGACUAUCAUUCCUAUUACCAUCCAACCCUCAAGAGCAUUCUCAUCCUUGGGUGGUUGCGGUGAGUCCGGGCAUUACAAUCUGGUAUCAGAGCCGAUUCCGAUCCCAGGGAGCUACGAUGGAAAAACCCACGUUGGAUCCAAAUUGAAAGAUCUGUAGAGCCACAGGGGAUAUCAACCCGCAAUUGAAAUUUCCUCUUCGGGUGGAAUUUGGAUUACGAGGGUUAUCCACUGUUAGGCACUAGAGGAUCGAAGCCUACAGGGAAGACGAAGUAUCAUAGGGUCAAUCCUUGAAGACGAUUGCAGAAUUAGAGCAUACAUACCAUUGGACCAACAUUGGAUCCAGUAGAACGAAUCGCUUCAAGUUUGUGAGUAAGACAACUUAGGCCAUGGUAGAGGGCACGAGGUUCAGGAUGCUGGAUGAGCAUGUGCAGUUCCUGGAGCAAUAAUUGCAGGAGCUAACAGCCAGAAACAAUAAGAAAUUUGAGGAGCUAAGACAUAAGAUAGAGAUGAUGCAAGCGGAGGAACAUUCCCACUACGAUGCAUUGCGCAGAGAGUCCGCCAACACGGCUAAGAAACUAGACCAGCUGAUGGAAUUCAUAUCAACCAACAGCAAGCAUCAUCUUCAAAGGAAAGGACUAUCAUGCAGGAAGAGAGAGAUAUACUGCCCACUCCCCUUAUUCUGUUGUCUAGAGAAGACACACAUUCCUUCCAAAUACACACUAGGACCAAUAACCAAUUACCUCUUCCGCGAUUGGAAUUUUUAAUGUUUAAUGGCGAUAACCCCAGGAGUUAGGUUAGAAGAUAUAAAAAAUAUUAUGAGAUUUAUGAGAUUAAGGAGCAUCAAAAACUGGAGAUAGCUACUAUGCAUAUGGAACCCAAGGCAGAUACCUAGUUCCAUGGUUACCUGACUAAGAAAAGGACCGUGAGUUGGGAGAUGUUCGUGCAGGAUAUAUGCAAAUGAUUUGAUCCAAAUGGUUUAAAGGAUGUAAUGGAAGAAUUUAACAAGUUGACACAACAAGGAACAGCAGAAGACUAUCAGGAGCAAUUCGAAGAUCCGAAGGAAAGGUUACUAAGUACCAACUCAUACUUCACACCUGAAUAUUUCCUGUCAAGUUUUUUGAGUUGGCUAAAGAAAGAAAUAAGAACUGAUGUCAAGAUGAUGCAGCCCAAUUCUCUCAUCCAGGCCUUCGAGUUGGCCAAGCUGUAGAGCAAAAUUUAGUAGCAGUGAUGACGAAAAGCAUACUGUGGUUCAAAAAUCAGGGAAGUACCUUGACCAACAGCAAUCACCAGGGUAAUAGUUCGGCAAUGCCAGCUAAGCAGACUGACACUUCCAGGAACUAUGCCAACAAGGCUAUUGCGAAAAGCUUCCCUCGAAAUAGACAGCUUAUCGAACAAAGGAGAGCAGCCGGGCUAAACUUUAAAUGUGGCAAUAAAUAUUCGUUGGGACAUCAAUGCAAAUCACAGUCAGCACACUCCCUGAAUGCUAUGAAUGAGGUGGCGAAAAUUUAUGAUGAAAAGAGCCUAAAGGAAGAGGAGAAAACGGAAGAGCAAGUGAAAAAAGAAGGGAAAGAAGUUGGGUUAUCAGUGCACGAAUUAAGCGUGAAAAAUCUGCAAGAAACUAUUAAAAUCCAAGGUGAAACCAGGGGGAGAAAGCUGGUUAUCCUCACGGACACAGGUAGCACACAUAGUUUCAUAGAGAUAAACGUAGUCAAGGAAAUCAAGGCAACUAUCACCACGACCUCCCCGCUACUGGUAAUAGUGGCAAACGGAUAGAAAGUACUCAGCAAACUUAAGUGUCUUGGGUUCUCUUCGAAAAUGCAGGGAGAAAGAUACACUACAGACCUGCGUGUGAUUAGAUUGGAAGGGUCAAGUAUGAUAUGGGGAAUUAACUAGUUAAAAAUUUACGGACCAGUUAUUUUCGACUAUGAGCAGCAUACAAUGACGAUCAAGAAAGGAGGCAAGCAGGUUGAGCUCAUAGAAAUGACCAUGAAGGCAAUGAUCAAAGGUAUUACAGCCAAACAAUGGCAACAAGAGUAUCUGGAAGGUAGCUGUUGCGCACUAGCUCAACUAGAGAGUAUAGAAGGAGAAAACCAGAUCUACAUUCCCCAAGAGAUUCAAUCGAUUCCACAAAAAUAUGAGGAUGCAUUCCAGGAGCCCCAGGGCCUUCCCCCAGGUAGAACCCAAGAUCAUCGAAUUUCUUUACAAGUUAAGGCAGAGCCUGUCAACAUCCGGCUGUAUAGGUACACUUAUGAGCAAAAGAACGAAAUAAAGAGAUUAAUUAAAGAAAUGUUGGCUACUUCGGUGAUACAACCAAGUAAUAGUCCUUAUGCAUCCCCAGUAUUAUUAAUCAAAAAAAAGGAUGAAAGUUGGCGAUUCUACGUAGAUUACUGACAAUUGAAUAGGCUAACCAUUAAGGAUAAAUACCCAAUACCAAUAAUCGAGGAGCUGCUAGAUGAGUUGGGCGGAUCCAAGUACUAUUUGAAGAUCGAUUUACGAUCAAGCUACUAUCAGAUACGGGUGCACCCAGUCGAUGUUUCGAAAACAGCAUUCAAAACGCAUAUAGGCCAUUAUGAGUUUCGAGUCAUACCGUUUGGACUCAGCAAUGCGCCGGCAACUUUCCAGGCAAUGAUGAACGAGGUAUUGUCACGCCCCGGGACCCAGCGGAAGCCCGCCCUUCACGUGUCAAGACCCGCCAUACGUCUCAAACAUAUAAGGCGUCUACAAUAAAACGAUAAGAAAAAGCAAUAGAAGAAAGAUAUCUAGAAGUAUCAGAGCAAAGAACAACUAGAUUCUACAAAAGAUAAAUAACCAAAAGGCUAAAAUCCACUAAAUAAAACUAUAAGUAGUACAUCCGAAAACCAAAUACAAGUGCUAUAAGUAAUACAUAGGUGGUCUCUAUACAUAGUGCCAAAACCUCUCGCUCUCUACAAAAACAAAAGAGAGAGAACCACCUAAAGCAAAAUAAGAACUCCUCGCUAUCUAGUUAGCGAUCCCCUUGCCGCGAUCCCGUGCCUCCACCAGUGUAGAGGACUCUAAAAUAAAACUAUAAAACAGAGGGCGUGAGAACUAUUAAAUAAUAGUUCCCAGUGGGCAAUUACUGACUUCAGUGAAAUGCGCCACUAGGCCCAAAAGCUAUAAAAGGGGGGUAAGUACGAGUAAAGUAAUAUGAACAAUAAACAAAUAAACAUGAAAGUUUACUACAACAUGAUAUCUCUACUUAGCAUGAAUUUGCAUAAGUAAGAAUGCUACUGUACCAUAAAUAUGUAUAAGUGCAACUACUAUGAUGUCCACAGAUAACUAGUAAAUUGUCAAUGUUUACUAACUUGUCAAAUUGUUCAUUUACAAAUUGGUUCCACUUGUUCCAAAUCUCAUAAGACCUACCUAUGGGUAGUCCGGCUUGCGCCGUGCCUAAUGGCCCCAUGGUAGUAAACAUCCCCACUCUAGGAAUGAGCCUUCCCCACGGCAUCCCAUUUCGGCGCCCAAUCCCGCACGGGCGAGCAUGUGUCGCGAUGGCUAUCUCCGGAGUGCCGGCUUGUGGGGAGCGACCCUCACAAGCAUGUGCGAAUGAGCACAAUGGCAAGCAAGCGUAAAAGUCCGUCUCGAGUCUCAAGUCAUCAUGUCUAAAAUAUGUAAUGUAGCAAAUCUCUCAAUGGCCUAUCACUAUGUCAUCAUGUCUAAAACAUAGAAUAUAGUCGAUGUCACAAUGGCCUAUCACUAUGUCUCUAUGUUGCAGUUUCACAGUUCACUAGUUCGGUGCCCCUUUAUGGCACUUUUGUUCGCUUUGCCCAAACAUAAGUUUAGUGUUCAAGAAUACAUAAUUCGAGUCAUUUUCAUCAUAGGAGACAUAUUUUCAACUUGCAAUAUAGAAUACUUUUCACAUGCAUGCCUAAUACACAUAUAGCUCUGCUAUAUAGAGUUGAAUUUUCACGAUAUAUAACACAUGCAUUUUAAGUAUUCUAAAAUUUAUAAAAAAUCUAUCUAGCAUGAAUAUGCAUGCAUUUCGAUGAUACGACAAGUAUAAAACACAUAGGGGAUAUUUCUCCCUUGUUUCAUGAAGUCAAACCUACCGUGACUUCUCAAAACCCUUCGUUUGCGCCAACGAAGGUGUCCACUAUUCUCCUAGUACCCUAAAGAUAACAAAAUGAGGGAUACACGAACGUUACGAACAAUCAUUUGUUCAAACAUUAAGCAACUCAAGCAAAGGUGAAGAAAACUCACCAAAUGCGAAGAAACCUCUCACGAUCUCCAAAAGGGAGUUAGAGGCCCUCAAAUCCAACCUAAACCAAGAUUCUAAUAAGAUCAAUUGGGCUCCAAAAUCCUCAAAUCCAAAAUCCCCAUUACUAACCCUAAUAUGCUCCAUCUAGGUUUCAUUAAGUAAAAGCUACUAAAACAUGAAUCAAGAAGUAGAUUAGGCUUACUAACCUCACAAGAGCUCUAAAACAAUGCUCCAAGUAAGCUAGGGUUGAAGAUCCUCCCUCCACAAAGCUCCAAUCACGAGCUCGAGGCUUCUCCUAUGGAGGAAACCCAACAAGAAGCAAGAAAAGCAUAGAGGAGGAGAUCAAAACUAGUUAAAACCCAUCAAAAAUGGAGAAGAAAUUAAGGGGGGAAGAGCUUACCUUGUUCUCCACUGGUUAGGGCUCAAAAGAGCUCCUAAGGGGGCUGGGGUGUGUUAUAUAGAGUUUGCAACAAUUAUAAAUACACCCCUCCACAAAAACAGCUCGCACUGCAUUGUGUACCGGUACACGGGAAAGUGUACCGGUACAAAUCCCGCGAGACAGCAAACCCGAGCCUCGGGUUGGCCAUUCACCACAUCUGUACCGGUACAACCAUCAAGGUGUACUGGUACACUUUCUGUACCAGUACAACCAUCAAGGCUGUACCGGUACACAGCCCUAUUGAGGCAAUCCGAGAGCAGACCCAAAAAUCUAAUCUUUUGGAUUUUGGUGCUAAGUUUUAAACCUUAAUUCUCGGGAUACGAGCCAUAGGUCGGAACACUGUGUAACGUACUGGACCUUUGCAAAUUGCAAGGUUCGAGUGUUUGGAUGUGUCCUGAGCUUUUCCAGAUUUUCUGGUGGGUCAUUGACUGUGUUCCGACCUAUGGUCAGCUCUCGGGUAGCCCUCAGCAGGGCUUGUACCGGUACAAGGCUGUGGCUGUACCGGUACAAGGCUGAUAGUUGUAUCGGUACAGCCACCGGGCUUGUACCGGUACAGGGCCGCAGAACCCCGCAACCCGAGCCUCGGGUUUGGCUUUUCGUGGGUCUUGUACCGAUACAGGGACCCGUGUACCGGUAUAAGGCGGCAGAUUUCGUACAGUCCGAACUGCAGGGGGUUUUUCGCGUUUGUGCCUAAUCUAUUUAGCACCCACGCCCCUUAGGGCUUCUUUUGUGCUGGAACCUGAGGAGGAGAAGGUGAGAGGAGCUCCACCUUGCUCCAUUUGGUUUUGAUCUCCGUUUUAGACGGAUUUUGGUGGAUUAAUUAUUUUCUUUUCUCUUUUUAUGCUUUUCCCACCAUUGAUGGAGCUAGGAGCUUGGAUUUGAGGCUUGGUGGAGGUAAGAUCUUUGGACUUAGAAGGUUUAGAGCUUGGAUGGGAGCAUUUUAGAGGUAAAAGACUUGUUCUUUCCUCUAAAUUCCUAGCUUUGAUGAUUCUUUUGGAAUUAAACCCUAAAAUGAGGUUUUAGGGCUUAUUUUGGGCAUUUUGAAUCUAGGGCUUUUGGAGUUAGAUUGAGUGGAUUAGAGGCCUCCAUUAGGUUGGAUUGGAAGGGCUCUAGCUCUCUUUUGGAGCUUUAGAGGAGUUUUUGCACUGGCGGUGCUUUAGAGGCCUCCAUUAGGUUGGAGUGGGGAUGUUGACUACCACGGGGCCACUAGGCACGGCGCAGGCCAGACAGCCUUCGGGUGGGUCUUAUACGAUUGGGACUUGGUGACAGAACAUGCUAUGUGAACUUUAAAACUAUUAGAGUGGACUUGGACUAGAACAGUAAACAAUGACAUCUUUACUAUUUUUGCAUUGAGGACAUCGGAUUGGUUGCAUUUCUAUGCUUAUGCAUGUCAUACACAUCCAUGUACAUUCCUGAUAUAGUUGCUUUAUUACUUAUGCAAAUCAUGCUAAGUAGAGACUUUAUGUUAUAGUAAGUUACACUUUACUUACCUUUCGCUUUACUACGCUGUUAGCUACUGACCACUUUCUUUGUAGCUUUGGACCUUGUGGUGCAUUCACUAAAGUCAGUAAUUGCCCACUGGGAACUAUUUUUAAUAGUUCUCACGCCCUCUUUUUUGUGGUUUCUUUCAGAGCCUUCUGCACCGGCAGAGGCACGGGAUCACGGCAAGGGGAUCGCAUAGCUAGCCAGCGAGGAGCGGUUCUUUGCCUAGGUUGUUUGCUUUUUUUUUUCUAGUUGAGAGAGUGAGAGAUUUUGUAUCCAUGUAUAGAGACCACCUAUGUAUCUACUUCUAGCACUUGUAUUUGGAAUUUUCUUUGUAUUACUUUAUACUUUUAUUAGUGGAUUCCAGCUUUAUUCUCCUUUCUCUAUUGUAGAAGUUAGUAUUAUAUCAUACUCUGAUACUCCUAGUUGUCUUUCGUUACCGCUUUAUUUAUGGUUAUUUUUAGACGCCUUAUAUGUUUUAGACGUAUGGCGGGUCUGAGCACGCGCCGGGCGGGCUUCCACUGGGUCCCGGGGCGUGACACAUUGUCAACGACCCUCCAAAAUAUCUGAAAAAAUUCGGAACACGGAUCAAACACUCGAACCUCGCAAUUUGCAAAAAUCUAGUGUGUUACAGGUAUUCGCCCCCUUACUCUGAAAGUUUGUCCUUAUUUUCUUCGAUGACAUAUUGGUUUAUAGUAGCACUUUAGAGGAGCAUGCGAGACACUUGGAAACAGUGUUUCACAUCUUAAGAAAGAACAAACUUUUUGCGAAAAGAACGAAGUGCUUCUAUAGGCAAGAGCGGGUUGAAUAUAUGGGGCACAUCGUCACACAUCAAGGAAUAGCCACAGACCAGAGUAAAAUAGAGGCUAUGCAACAAUGGCCGACACCAACUUCAGCUAAGGGGCUGCACAAAUUUCUUGGCUUGACAGGUUACUAUCGGAGGUUUAUUAAGGGCUACGGUGCCAUUAGCAAACCCUUAACUGAACUAUUGAAGAAAACAUGGUACAAGUGGAACCCAAAGGCAUAGAAAGCCUUUGAGAAGCUAAAGAAACUAAUGACGGAAGCGCCGGUACUCGCCAUGUGGACAACAACAAGCCUUUGGUAGUAGAAGUUGAUGCUUGCAAGCAAGGGAUUGAAGCAGUCUUGAUGGAAAAGGGCCGACCAAUUACCUAUCUAAGCAAGGCUAUAAGUGGGAAGAACCUUAGAUUAUCUACCUAUGAGAAGGAAAUUCUUGUGAUAUUAAUGGCGCUUUCCAAGUGGCGACUCUACUUGAGUCAUAGGCAAUUUAUCAUUCAGACGAAUCACGAAAGCCCUGAAUACUUGCCGGAACUAAGAAUUUCCACAGCUAUCCAACAAAAAAGGAUGUUGAAGUUUUUAGGGCUAGAUUGUAUAAUACAAUACAAAAAGAGGAGAGAGAACAAGGCUGCAGAUGCAUUGUCUCAUAGGGCGUUUGAAGAAAGUAAAACACAGGCUAUUUCGGUAGCUAUUCUAGAGUGGACCACUGAAAUUUCUGCAAGUUACCAAGGGGAUGCGGAGUGCCAAAAGCUAAUAACCCAACUAUGUCUACAACCAAAUGAAGCUGCGCCUUACACCUAUGAUCAAGGAUUGCUGCGUUACAAAGGGAGAUUAUUUAUUAGAGGGAAAGGAGACCUCCGGUAGCUAUUACUGGCUCAAAUGCACAGCUCAACCUUGGGAGGACACUCGGGACAACAAGCUACUUACAAAAGGAUCAAACAGAUAUUCUACUGACCGGGACUCAAGCGUGAAGGAAGAGAUGGUAAAAAAUUGUACAGUUUGCUUCCAAAACAAAGCUAACAAUCAACCCUAUGCCAGACUACUGCAACCCCUGCCAAUUCCGCACCACAUUUGGCAAGAAAUUAGUAUGAAUUUCAUAAAAGGUCGGAAGGUAAAAACUCCAUAUUGGUGGUGAUCGAUCGAUUCUCCAAAUACGGUCAUUUUAUUCCUUUGAGCCGAUCGAUUCUCCAAAUACGGUCAUUUUAUUCCUUUGAGCCACCCAUACACUGUCGCAAGCAUGAUCAGAGCUUUUUAUGGCACAAUCUACAAAUUGCAUGGGCUACCGAAGAAGAUUAUAUGUGACCGAGAUAGGAUCUUUACAAGCGAACUAUGGAAUGAGCUAUUCAAGAAACUGGGGACUAAGCUGCUCAUGAGCUCAACGUACCACCCCCAGACGGAUGGACAAACGGAGAGAUUUAACCAUUGUGUGGAGACAUAUUUGCGCUGCUUAUGUUUCCGACACCCACACAAAGGCAUCGUUGGAUAGUGUACGCAAAAUGGUGGUACAACACCAACUUUCAUACCUCCUCAGGUCCUCUAUGGGAGAACACCCCCAAACUAUCUAGUAGCCAAUCUGGGGUUAGCCAAUCUGGGGUUAGGCUCUACAAAAUAAGUACAAGAAUGGAGGAAAGAGAGGGAAAAGAUUAUGAGGGACCUUCGGGAGAAUCUAUUGAAGGCCCAAAACAGAAUGAAACAAUUCGCCGAUAGACACCGAGUGGAUCGGGAAUUCAAGGUAGGAGACUUUGGUGUUCCUAAAGCUACAACCUUACCAACAAAACACAGUGACGGAGCGAAGGAACAUGAAGCUUUCAGCUUGAUACUUUGGGCCCUACGAGGUUUUGGAGAAGGUCGAGGCGGUGGCGUACAAGUUGCGGCUUCCGGACGACUCAAAGAUACAUCCCGUCUUCUAUGUUUCCUUGCUCAAGUGAAGCCCACCAGAUGGGCACUCGGCCUCAAUGGCGGCACCAGUAGUGUGGAGGAAGGACAACCACCGACGGUGCCGGAGAAGAUUUUGGAUCGCCGUAUGGUGCGGCGAGGGAACAAAGCGGUAGCUCAAGUUCUAGUGAAAUAGAGCAAUCUUCCCGAAAAUCCGGCGACUUGGGAAGAUGAUUGGUCACUCAAGAAGCAAUUUCUUGCCUUUGAUCUUUAAGGACAAGGAUCGUUCCGUAGGAUGGAGGGAUUGUAGUGGCGGAGGAUGAAGAGCUUAGGGCUCGAGCAAGAACGACAAAGGAACAGGAAGAUUUGGGGAGAAGAUCUAAAGUAGGGAAUAGUAAGAAUAACGGGUCAGGCGGUCGGAAUCUCAAUUCGACCCGUCAAGGCUGCUGGAUCACAGGUUGCCUGGAGCAGGCUUUCCAUUAUGAUCGAUGAAGUCGGCCCAUAGAGAAAGGACGACCCGCCAAGUCCAACUAGUUAAUCAAUUUUCCUCUUAAUGCCUUUCAUUUCUUUAUUUGCAUAUUAGGCAUCAUGUAAUAGCUAUAAGUAGUAGAAGGGGUAAAGUGUAAGAGUAUGAAUGGAAUUAACAGAAUUCUUCCUCCCCAAUUCUAUCUUCUCUUCUUCUCUCUCCUCCCUUCUCUCUUUCCCUUUCCUCAUCCACUCUUGUCAACCUCAUCCCCUUCCCUGAAUUACCAAAUUUCACAAUUCGAGCAAAUCAUCAUUCCCAUCAUAAUCCAACCCUUUGAGCAUUCUCAUCCUUGGGUGGUUGCGAUGAGUUCGGACAUUACAAAAAUUUCCAACCCAAAAGUCAUCCAGUUGUUUAUUUAGAUUUUUUUUUGAGAAAAAGAUAAUAUGUUAUCCGCUUUGUUCAUUUUUUUUAGAAAUAAACUCAGCUGAAAAUGUAAAGCAAAUAGACCUCGAACUUGGAAUCUCAAGUACGUACCAAGUACCAAGUCCUUUGCCACUUACGCUAGGAAUGAUUUAGAUUUUGUUUGCAGAAACCUGCACUUUAUGGUUCUUGCUACAUGGGCAUGAGUGCGUACCAUGUAAAGCACCUUCGCCGAUUUUAAGCUUAUCGGAUAGAGAAUGAGUCUAACAUAAGUUUAUAUGGUAAAGGAUCUAUUUUAGCAUAACUACUAAGAAAGUGAUUUCUACUUAAAUGAUUUUGACGGCGAAAAAGUAGUACUUUAAAAAGUCAUUUUGUAAAACGUUUUGGCAAAUUUUUUGAAAGUUAUUUGGUAAAAUAUAAAAUAAUUUUAAAUUUUAAAUUUUAAAUUUUAAAAAUUUGAAAUUUAAAAUUUGACUUUAGAAUUUUAAAUUUUGAAUUUUGAAUUCUCCAUUUUAAAUUUUAAAUUUUAAAAUUAAAAAUAAUUUUUAAUUUUCAAAUCUUGAAUUUAUAUAUAUAAUUUAAAAUUUUAAAAUUUUAAUUUUAAUUUUAAAUUUUAAUUUUAAUUUUAAAUUUUAAAUUUUAAUUUUAAAUUUACAAUAUAAAUUUAAAAUUUUUAAUUCUAAAUAUUAAAAUUUGAAAUUUAUCAAUUUUGAAUUUGAAAUUUAUCAAUUUUGAAUUUAAAAUAUGAGCUUGAAAUUAAAAGUUUAAAUCCAAAAUCAAAAUUUAAAUCUAAAAUUUCAAUAAAAAAUUAGAAUCAUAUUUUAUGAACAAGAUUAUCUCCUUCUGAUUCUGGGACCUCUAGAAUCAAAAAUCUGAUUUCACAACAUAAAUUACCAAGUGCGCAAUUAUCGAAAGAUAAAUUACUUUUGGCCCUAAAAUUAGUUUAUGAAAGCUAGGCCAAAUAGCCCCAUGCCAAAGCAUCAAAUAGCAACCCUAGACGUAAGGGUGAUAUUGAUAAAUCAAAAAGCUCUUUUCACAGUCAUGAGAUGGGAUAUUGAUAGGCCUGGCAGACUGUAAAAGUGGGAUGAAGAACGCCUUUCGGUUAGAACUGUCACAUUGACGUCAUUCUCUUCUAAUCAUUCCAAGCAGUAAGACCUGAGAUCAGAAUCGAAAUAGGAAUAGAAAUGAAAAUAUACCGAAAUCGAAAACAGAAUGAUGAUCAAACUUCUAAUUUAUUUUGUUAUAAUAAAGGAAAUCAAAAUUAAAAUCAUGCGCCAAUCAAAAUUCAAAUUUAAUUAAACUACAAAUUUACAAUAUAAACUCAUAAUUAAAAUUUGAAUUUAAAUUCUAACUCGCAAUUGAGUUUAAAGUUGGAAAUUACAAUUCAAAUUCAAGUUCAAGGUCGAAAUUAAAAUUUAGAACAAAAUUCAAACAUCCAACUUAUAUUAGAAUUUAAAUUUGAACUUAACAAUUAAAAACUAAAAUUUAAAUAUAAUUUAAAUUUAGGCUAAAUUACAGAAAACCUCCUUGUAAUAACCCAUUUUUUUACUUUCCCUCCCUGACAUUUAAAAACCUACACUUUGUCCCCCUGUAAAAUAAAAAAUGUGCACUUCACUCCCUACCGUUAGGGUUCCGUUAAAAAAUAUAUUUUUAUGCCAAAAAUACCCCUCCGCCAUCUCCCUCUUGCUUCGACUCCCUCCGGCUCGCCACCUCGCCGCCGCCUCGCCGUCUCGCCGCCUAGCCGCCUCGUCGUCCUCCACUGCCUCGCCCUCACCAACAUCCCCUUCACCGUCCUCCGCCGCCUCGCCUUUGCCUUCUUUGCCCUUCUCCUACUGUCGCCCACCUCGGUUUUCUCCUACUGUCGCCGAAAUCGAGGGCGGCGAGGGUGCAGGAGGAGAAGGGGAGCAGGUGGAGAAGGAAAUGGAGAGAAAUUGCGGCCGAUUGAGGUGGGAAUCGCAGCCGAACGAAGAGGCGGCUAAGGAAGAUGGGGAAGUAGACGACAAUGGCGAGGGGCAAAAUGGUCAUUUUACACAUCGUAACCCUCCUGUGAACAUUUUUCAUUUUACAGGGGGGCAAAGUGUAGGUUUUGAAUAUCAGGGGGGGAAAGUGAAAAAGCGGAUAAUGAUAGGGGGUUUUCUGUAAUUUAGCCUUAAAUUUAUUCUAAAAUUAAGUAUAGAUAAUAUUUAAAUUUCGAUAACUAUUAGUGAAAAAUAAGUUCUUUUCUCAAUCCCUUUUCGAGUCAAGAUCGAUUUCCCCCUCCAACAGGGGAAUCAUUUUGGGGGUUCAAUUUUUUUUUCUGAAGUGGAAAUCAAAAUGUUAAUCGCUCAAAACCAUAAACCAAUAAUAGAAAUGAUUUAUUCAGAUUCCGAUUUUUACUCCAAGGCUCAAAUCCUUGAAACCAAAUGUAUGAAGCGAAAAGUUUGCCGGACCAUGGGUCAAGAACACUAAAAAUCAAAAGUUAGUACAAACUCCAACAAAAUAUACUGUAAACGAGGUACUCAAAUCAAUCGAGAAAGCUAAUCAUAUAUAUAUAGAGCUUGUUAAAUAAAACCAUUUCCUUAUCCAAGACAUAAAAUUUUUAACUAAUGCCUAGCAAAUCAUUAUAAGCACUUUAUAAGUUAAAAAUUUGAUUCAUAUUCAUUCCAAAUUAUAAUUGCAUUUGAAUUCGUUUAGAUCAAAUAUAAUUAAAAAGUUUAAUAUUCAUAUCUAUGGUCGUAUCAUUAUAUUAAGUAUGAAUAAAUACAAUUUUAUCAAAUAUGCAAUCAUAUUUAGCAGUUUUUACCCCUAUUUAAGAAAAACUGCAAACGGAUCUAAGUAUUUGUGAUGGUAUAUAUACUUGCUAAAAUAGUUUUAUGUUGCUGCCACCACAGUAUUGCACAUCCGCUUUAUUGGACAAAAUUUUGACAGUAGGGGUAUAAAAUACCGUCUCAGAGUUUAUGGACACGUCAGUGUAAUUUACUACCCGUAUUCAUCACAUUCAUAUGAGAGAAGAGGAAUGGUACUUGUCACGUAAAGGCAGAGUAUAAAUUUUAAGCCAAUUUGCAUAAAAAAUUUAUUAAUUUUACAUUUUCAUAAAAAAAUAGAUUUUUUUUUGGAUUUGAUAUGUUGGGUUUGAAUUUUUAGUAAACUAUUUCUUUAUGUUUCUCAUUCAUUUUUCUCCUCCCUCUCCGUCUCCCUCCUCCUCAUAUUUCCUUUCUCUUUUUCUCCUUAUGCUUCCUCACCCUUCUCUUCUUCCACCGUACGCAUGUUGAUGCAGUGCUCCUCUCUUCUACCUUGCCUACACCUCGACAAAUGCUGGUGAUGGCAAUGCGGCUUGGAUAUGGCAUAGAUUGCGGGAGGUUUGGCUGAGGUGAAGAGCAUGGCCGUGGACAGCAAUAGUAACGAAACCAUUAUCCCGACCCUACAUUUCUUCAUCCAAAGGCUAAAAACUCAAAAGCACCAUCUCUUUGGUGAUUUGGAAGUAUUAGGCUACUAUGCUAUUAAUAGCACCAAGUCAUUGGUGCUACCAAGUUUUUGGCCAUUGGAUUAAGAGAUGUGCGGUUAGGAUAAUGUGGGCCCCCUAGGAUUGAGUGGGUGGUUGGUUGAAUAGUAUGAUUUAACCGGUGAAAAUAAUCAAAAGAAUAGAUCUUACGGCAGAAAACUUGGUAGCACCAAGUGCUUCGUGCUAUUAAUAGCAUAGUAGCCGGACUCUCUCUCUCUCUCUCUCUCUCUCUCUCUCCUCUCUCUCUCUCUCUCUCUCUAUAUAUAUAUAUAUAGAGUUGAGCUAGAAUACUAUCGAUAGCAAACGGGCUCCGUUGUCACCCAUUUGUUUUCGAUGAUGAAGCCUCCAAAUCGACGAUCGACACCAUUGAACAUGAUCUAUACCACUUGAAAUAUUUAGAAAUCAAAUUUCAUAUAUUUUCGACAUUGUUCUGUUAUCCAUCGAGUGGACACAAAAAUGAACGGCUAAAAAUGAAUAUUCUUUAAAAAAUGAUGAUAGGAGUCUUAUAAUCAAGAUCAAGAGUACAGAUCUUGUUUUAAAUAGUUUAAAGAAUUUUCUAACAAAAAUUUAAUUAAUUUGGCUAUUUUUACGCCGUUAAACGAGAAAACGCCUCAUAUCGACCAUUAAAAUUACAAAUUUUGAAACCCUUUGAUCAUUAGGCAAAUAAUGUCGAAAAGAUUUAAAAUUUAAUUUCUAAACACUUCAAGUGGUAUAGAUCAUGUUCAACGGUACUGAUCAUCGAUUUAGAGGCUCUAUCAUCGAAAACAAAUGGUGGCAACGGAGCCCGUUUACUAUCGAUAGUAUUCUAGCUUAACUCUCUCUCUCUCUCUCUCUCUCUAUAUAUAUAUAUAUAUAGAGAGAGAGAGAGAAGAGAGCGAGAGAGAGAGAGAGAGUAUAUAUAUUAUUAUAAGAGAGAGAGAGAAGAGAGAGAAGAGAGGAGAAGAGAGAGUUGGAACUGGCUACUAUUAGUAGCAAAAUCCCAUUGUUGCUACCAGUUUUUUAGCCUUUAGAUCACUCUUUUUAUUAUUUUUAAAGCAUUGGAUUAAAUACUAUAAUCCAGUGGGACCACUCAACCCUAGGGGACCAUUCAACUCUAACUGACUAUUAUCAUCCUAACCCUACAAAUUUCAUCCAAGGGUUAAAAAAUGAAUAAAUCAGUGUUUACUAAUUAAUAGUAUUCAACAAACUAUAUAAUAUAUUUAUAUAUAAUAUAUACUAUAUAUAUAUUAUAUAGCGAGAGAAAGCAGAGAGAACAGAGAGAGAGAGAGAGAGAGAGAGAGAGAGAGAGCAGGGACUGGCUGCUGUGCUCUCAGGAGCACGAAGGCCUCCAUGCUCCUGAGCCGUUUCGAUUAUGGAAUUUUCGAAUCGACGAUCAGCUCCGUUAGACUUGAUCUAGCGUAUUUCAAGUUUCUAGAAAAUAAUUUUUGCGAUUUUUCAAUAUCAUUUACCUAGCAAUCGAAAGGAUUCAAAAUCAAUAAUUUUUAACGACUGAAAAUAAAAAUCCUAUAAAAAGUCGUGAUAUAGCACUAAAAUUUUCGAUCAGAAAUAUUGAUCUUGUUGUAAAUAGUAUAAAGAAUUUUGUAUCAAAAUUUCAUCUGAUUUGAAUACUUCUACACUGUUAAACUUGAAAAUGGCAGAUAUAAACCAUUAAAAAUUAUGGAUUUUGAAUCCUUUCGAUUACUAGGUAAAUGAUAUCGAAAAAUCGCAAAAAUUAUUUUCUAGAAACUUUAAAUACCCUAGAUCAAGUCUAACGGAGCCGAUUGUCGAUUCAAAAAUUCCAUCAUCGAAAACGGCUCAGAGCACAGCAGUCCUGCUAUAUAUAUAUAUAUAUAUAUAUAUAUAUAUAUUUCUUCUUCUUUGAAGGUCACCGCGCGCCGCAGCUGCUAUAAGGAAGGCCAACAAGAAGAGAAGAAAGAAAAAGAAGAAGAACAAAAAGAAGUGAAGAAAAAGAAGUUGCAUUAUUUUAGAAUAAGUUACACUAUUUGAAUUAAAGUUGCACUAUUUAAAACCAUUUGAAAGUAAGUUGCUUGCACUAUUUAAUAUUAAAUUGUACUGUUUAAGACUAAAUUAUAUCAUUUGAAACUAUUUGAAACUAAAUUACAUUAAAAAAAAAGGAAGUUUCGUUGUUUAAGACUAAGUUGCAUUGUUUGAGACAAUUUGUACAACUUCUUGACAAGUAUAACUUAACCUCAAACAGUGUAAUUUCUACUUUUGAUAGUGCAACUUAGUUACAAAUAGUUUUAAAAGAUGCAAUUUAAUCUCAAACAGCAUAAGUUAAUCUCAAAUAGUGCAACUUUUCUUCUUCUUUUCCUCUUCUCUUAGCCUUUCCUGUAGAAGCUACGGCACAAGAUGACCUUUCUAAGAGAAAAAAUAUAUACUUUAUUUCUUUUUUUCCCCUCCAUUCUUUUCCACUACUGCACCUAUUGGAUUUUAUUGGGUUUGUUAUGAUUUAAAACUUAUUAAUACUACUUGAUUGGGUUUCUUUAUUGGGUUUGUUAUGAUUUAUUCUUUCGGUUUUAUCUUUAUUUUAAUUCUAAUUCUAAUCUUUACAUAUAAUCUUAGGCUUAUUUUAUUCUACUCGGAUUUGACGCGUUGGAACAAGAUUCUCGCCUUGAUUAUAAAUAUAGGGCGAGGUUGUACGAGUUGAAUAAUAAUAACCCGAGCAUACCUAAAGCCUCUCUUCUUUUCUUGCUUUCUGAGUUUUCGUCGAGUUUUCUUUUGCUGGAUCUGAAGAUGGUUGGAUUGAUCUUGCGCCACCUUGGAAGCGUGCCGACGAGGUGGAACGUGGUCGUUGUAUCGCUAGGAGUAAUUGUCGGAAAGCCUCGCACGUAGAGGCGCAAUUUCGCUUCUAGGACAGUGCUCUGCACGCCUCAAUCCACAGGCCUUAUCUAAAUCUUUUCUUUACCGUAUUUGUUAUUUAAUUUCGUUUUAGGAUUUUUCCUAAACCUGUAAUUAAAAUUUUGAAUUGGUUUUUAAAGAAUAUUGUAAUAAAAGAUCAGAAAGAUUUUCCAACAAUCUAUAAGCGAAAUUGAUUUUAUCUUUUUGUUUCUUUUAUUAUAGUUAUUAAAAUAUAUUAUACGCAAAAUUUGGGCACUUUGGAUUUAUUUUAUAAAGUUACUGUUCAUCAUCUUCUUCUUCCUUUAAAAUUAAUCCUCAAACUAGUUUUAAAGUUCUCGCCAUGGAUGGAUUAUAAUUGUUUGUAGCGGGCGCGGCGAGAUUGCAACUUUGUUUUGGGCGUUUGCGUCUCGGCGACUUUUGGUCGCAUGGAAGUUCGGUAUGAACGACAAUCCGUCCUUAUGCCGCAUGUAGUUGCGAGUCUCCGGUAAGGAUGUGCUGUUGCAAUCAAGUCCCGCAUAGGGUUACCCGCUUGUUAAUCUCGGCCGCACGUGAUGCAUGAGGCUUGGCCUAUUUGAGGCGGCCGCAUCUUUUCUUAAUUGAGUUUUUAAUAAAAGUCAAGGGAGAAGAUGAACAGUAUGUUUUGUUGGGUUGAUUUAUCACAUUCCACUUAAUGAAUUAAGACAACACAACUUUAGAUUUAAUUAAUUUGAACUUCAAAACUGUUUUUUUUUUAAUUCAAAACUGUUUUCUUUUUUGACAUAACAGUAGAAUUAAUUUGUGCACUAAUUUAUUUUUAUUAUGGAGUAUUCGGCGUAACCGUUUACUUUUAAUGGUCAUAAUUUUAAGAGGUGGCAGAACCAAAUGAGCUUCUGGCUUACCACACUUGGGCUGAUUUCUGCUAUCUCGGAUUCUGCCGAUAAUGCUAGUGGAUCUGUACCUAUAGGUGCAACCCAGAAUGUGAUUGCACGGAGUCCACCAUAUUCUCGACCUUAGGAAAAAUUUGAUUAGUAGUUCUCUUUUAUUUCAGCAGGGUUUUAAGUUAGUUUUUUAAUGUAAUAGGGUAGUUAUAACAAAAGGAGUGAAUUUUAUCGGAAAAGAAUUUUUGAGUGAUGGUUUAUUUAAAUUAUCUAUAUCUUCUCCUAAUAUUUGGCAUGGAAGAUUGGGACAUGUGAAUUUUAAUACUAUCAAAAGAUUGAUACAUCUUGAUUUGAUUCCUAAAUUUGAUUUAUCUAAUCAUAGAUGUGAAAUAUGUGUGAAAGCUAAGGAGCCUAGGAAACCAUUUAAAUCUGUGGAUAGAGAUUGCGAUCUUUUAGGAUUGGUGCACAGUGAUGUUUGUGAUGGAAAUAGACCUAGCUAGUAGAGGUGGAAAUAAAUAUUUUGUGACGUUUAUAGAUGAUCAUUCAAAAUAUUAUUAUGUUUAUUUGAUCAAAUCAAAAGAUGAGAUUUUAAACAGAUUCAGGAUUUAUAAGGCUGAAGUUGAAAAUCAAUUAGAUAAGAAAUUAAGAUUUUGAGGUCUGGUCGAGUUGGUGAAUAUACUUCAAAUGAGAUGACUGCUUUCUGUCAAGAGUUUGGAAUUGUACAUCAAGUGAUUGCUCCUUAUACACCUCAAUCUGAUGGAGUUGCUGAACGUAAGAAUAGAACUUUGAUGGAUAUGGUGAAUUCGAUGAUUAUUAGUUCAGGCGCACCCGAGAACUUGUGGGGGAAGCUUUAAUUUCUGCAUGUGUGAUUUUGAGUAGAAUUCCCCACAAGAAUUCUAAUGCAUCUCCCAAUGAGCUUUGGAAAGGUAGGAAGCCUAAUCUAAAUUAUUUUAAAGUGUGGGGGUGCCUAGCUAAAGUGAAGAUACCUGAGAAUAAGGAGAAAAAGAUUGGACCAAAGACUGUGGAUACAGCUUUUGUGGGUUAUGCACAUGAUAGCAAUGCAAAUCGAUUUUUAGUAAUGAAUUCUGAAAUUAGUGAGAUUUCUAAUAACACUAUUAUUGAGGCUAGAGAUACAGUAUACUUUGAGGAUGUUUUUCCUAUUAGAACAAGAGUAGAUAGACCUAUUCCAGCUGAGUCUAUAGGUAAUUCUAGUAAACCUAGAAUUAGUGAACCUAUAGAAGAGACUGAACCUAAGAGAAGUAAGCAUCCUAGAGUAGCGAAAAUUUUGGAGAUGAUUUUUGUGUCCUACUAGUAGAAGAUACUCCAUCUACCUAUAACCAAGCUAUGACGUCUGUAGAUGCAUCGUUUUGAAAAGAGACUAUUAAUCUGGAGAUCUAGUCUAUUCUACAUAAUCAUACUUGGGAGUUGACUGAUUUACCUUUAAGAUGUAAGUCUGUAGGUUGUAGAUGGAUUUUUAAGAAGAAGUUGAGAUCCGAUUGAUCUGUAGAUAAGUAUAAGGCUAGAUUAGUGGCACAAGGAUUUGCACAGAAGUCUGGGGUAGAUUAUUUUGAUGUUUAUGCUCUUAUUGCUAGGAUUACCUCUAUUAGAGUGUUGAUUGCCUUGGCCUCUAUCCAUGAUUUGAUUAUUCAUCAAAUGGAUGUUAAGACAGCAUUUCUGAAUGGUGAUUUGGAUGAAGAGAUUUAUAUAAAACAACCUGAAGGUUUUAUAGUUUCUGGACAUGAGAAUAAAGUAUGCAAAUUGAAUCGAUCUUUAUAUGGACUUAAGCAAGCUCCUAAGCAGUGGCGUUUGAAAUUUGACUCUUUGGUUGUAUCAAAUGGUUUUCAUGUAAACAUGUCUGAUGAAUGCGUGUAUUCAUGAAUGCGUAUAUUCGAAGGAGUAUAAUGGACAGAUAGUGAUCUUAUGCUUAUAUGUUGAUGAUAUCUUGAUUUUUGGUACUAAUAUGAAUGCCAUAAAUGAUGUGAAGAAAUUGUUAAAUGAAAAUUUUGAUAUAAAAGAUCUUGGGUAAGCAGACAUUAUUCUCAACAUGAAGAUCAUCAGAAAAUCAAAAGAAAUUAUUAUGAGUUAAUCCUACUACAGUGAACAGUUAUUGAAAAAGUUUGAAUAUUUUGGUGUUAAACCUGUAGUGACACCUUAUGAUUCUAGUGUGCAUCUUAAAAAGAAUAGAGUAGAUCCAAUAGGUCAAAAUAGAUAUUCACAGAUUAUUAGAUCCUUAGGAUAUUUGGUGGAUUACACUAGACCUGAUUUAGCUUAUGCUGUGAAUCGAUUGAGAAGAUAUACCCAUAAUCCAAAUAGAGAGCAUUAGAAUGCCUUAAAAAGAGUUUUGAGAUAUCUGAAGGGGACUGUUUCUUAUGGAUUAGAUUACACUGGUUUUCCUGUAGUAUUGGAAGGAUAUAGUGAUGCUAAUUGGAUUAGUGAUACUGUUGAUAUAAAGUCGACUACUGGAUUUAUUUUUCUUUUAUGAGGAGCAGCUGUUUCUUGGAAGUCAAUUAAACAAUCAUUGAUUGCUAGAAGUACUAUGGAAUAUGAACUUAUAGCCUUGGAUACAACUAUAGUAGAAGCUAAGUGGAUCAGAGAGUUUCUUUAUGAUUUACCACUUAUGGAGCGACCUUUAGCACCUAUAUGUAUUCAUUGUGAUUGCAAAUCUGCUAUAGAUAAGUAUGCUCAAGAGAAUGUGGAAACGAAAAAGAAUAGAUUCAUGAAAGUGAGAUAUAAGUUCAUUCGACAGAAUUUGAAGGAAAAUGUGAUUUGUGAAAUCUACAAAGAAUCUGGCUGAUCAGCUUACAAAGGGAUUAUCUAGGACAGUGAUCCUAAAAUCGUAGAGGGGGAUGGGGCUUAGCCCACAAUAGAAGUUACCGCCGACGGCAACCCAACCUGUUGCAGGUUCAAUGGGUAGAAACAAGUCGAACAGAUAGCUGUGAGGAGCACUGUUUUUAUAUUCUCAUCCCUAUAGCGACAGUGCUCUGUAAGUGGAUAGGAAGGGCAUUGGCCCUGAAUGGCUCCGAGACCUAUAAGGUAGGGUGUGACCUUGCAUAUACCCUUUGAGGACCUACUAUAUGUGUGGAAUCGUGAGGCCGCGACUAUGGAAAAUGGCGGUUCCCUAAAACACACACGAAGCGAUACUAGCGGAUGGCCAUAAAAGCGCUCACCCGUUUAGAACCUAUUCAGCUGUACCAUGUGUGUUGUUCGCGGAAAUCUAAUUCACCGGCUCUGGUUCAAGGCGUAGUCCACCAUUGUGCCCUCGGAUGUACAUUGACAAGCGCUAAGUGAAGGUUCAAAUUCGAAAGGUACCUUUACCGAAUACAUGGUAUAAAAGAUCCAGCAUUCUUUUGAAUUAUUUUGAAUUUCAGUUUAUUUCCUUUCUUUAUUUUAAGUUUUAAAUCAUGUGGGAGAAUAUUGGAUUUUAUUAGGUUUGUUAUGAUUUAAAACUUAUUAAAACCACUUGAUUGGGUUUCUUUAUUGGGUUUGUUAUGAUUUAUUCUUUCGGUUUUAUCUUUACUUUAAUCCUUAUUUUUAUCUUUAUCCUAAUUCUAAUCUUUAUCCAUAUAAUCUUAGGCUUAUCUUGUUCUACUCGGAUUUGACGCGUUGGAACAAGAUUCUCGCCUUAUGGGGCGAGGUUGUACGAGCUGAAUAAUAAUAACCCGAGCAUACCUAAAGCCUCUCGAUCGUCUUUUCCUGCUUUCUGAGUUUCCGUCGAGUUUUCUUUUGCUGGAUUUGAAGCUGGUUGGGUUCAUCUUACGCCAUCUUGAAAGCGUACCGACGAGGUGGAACAUGGUCAUUGUAUCACUAGGAGUAAUUGCUGGGAAGCCUCGCACGUGGAUGGGCAAUUUCGCUUCUAGGACAGUGCUCUAUACGUCUCGAUCCACAGGCCUUAUCUAAACCUUUUCUUUACCGUAUUUGUUAUUUAAUUUCGUUUCAGGAUUUUUCCUAAACCUGCAAUUAAAUUUUUGAAUUGAUUUUUAAAGAAUAUUGUAAUAAAAGAUCAGAAAGAUUUUCCAACAGCACUCACUCCACCCUCUACCGUACUACCACCUCCGCCCUUACACGCUCUUCCGCCGAUCAUUCUUAAAUCUUGCAACACCUUUAUUGCCGUCACCGUCUAUGGUCAUGCCCUUCACCACAACCUCACCUCUGCGAUUUGUACCAUAUCCGAUCCCACGAUGCUAUCAUCGACAUAGGCAGACACUACAACAGAAUUAGGUUAUAGGGACACAUGUUUGGGACACUUUUGAGUAAGUGUCCCAUUUAUGCUAAAACUUAAAAAAACAUCUACUAAUGCCUAAAUAUAAAGCCCAAUCCAACAAAAAAUAAAAGAUUACUCUACUCAACCCGCCACACCCAGUCCAUUUGGCCCGAUUACAAACAGAAAAGAAAAAAAAAAAAGAAAAAUCAAUUACCAUCUUUUCUUCUCUCUUCACUCAAUCCAUUGAAAUUCUAGACGAAGAGCCUUUCCUGUCGUCAUCCUCUGCCACCGCAGCCAACGAGAUAGAGUUUCGGCAGUUGCUAAAUGCUUAAAUAAGUGUUUGUAAAUUAGCAGCACUCUUUUAGGUUAUAGCGACACUCUUUAACUGUCACUAUAUACCUAACGACCCUAUAUAUAGCAACACUUUUUAAAAGUGUCGGUAAUUUUAGCUAGCAGCACUUUUUUGACAUGUACCUACAUUUAAAAGUGUCGCUAUAGACCGUUUUUGUUGUAGUGAGAGGUGUGGACAAGACAUAAGUGCAAUGGAGAAGGAGGAGAGAAAGAAAGUAGGAGAAGAAAAGGAAGAAGGAACGGUGAGAAGGAGAGAGAAAAAGAGGGAAUAGAGAAAACGGAUAAGAGAGAAAGAAGAAAGAAAGAAAAAUAAUGAUAUUUUGAUCAGUUUAGUAAAAAUUCAGACUUCAACAGCAAAACUCUUGUUUUGCAAAAAUGCAAAACCAGUGAAAUCUUUUAUGCAAAUUAGGCUAAAUUCUACCGUCAUCAAGUUUUUAAUAUUAAAAAAUAAUUAAUACAGUACAUGCAUGCGGUUACACAAAUGGUCUCAAAAAGGUAACCUAUUUACCACAAAUAGCUUAUCGUACGUAGUUAUUAUUCUCAUCUCAGAAUUUUUAGUGCUUUGGCAUUUAAUUCCAAUCAAAAAGUUCACCUACUUGAAUUAAAUAUUAAUAUAUGUAACGUGAUAGUGAGGUUAAGUAAUUUCUCCUCCAUAUUUUUAGUCACGUCAACAUGACGUAAACCCACCUAAAAUCCACUUGUUGAUUGAUCUCGGUUUGUAUAUAUUUAUAUAUAUAUAAACUAGCUAGCUAGGACUAUUUGUAUAUAAGCUAGCGCAUAUAUGCACGCACAACAACUUGUGAAUGAAUGAAUGAAUGAAUGAAUGAAUUGUUCUCAGGGAAUCGGGGGCCGGGGAGGACGCCGGUGGAUUGGGGGCUGCGAAUGCAGAUCGCGGCGGGGGCGGCGCGGGGGCUGGCGCACAUCCACCACGCGAGGCGAUCGCCGAAGCUGGCGCACGGGAACGUGAAGUCGACGAACGUGCUGCUCGACAAGGCGGGCAACGCGCGGCUCGCCGACUACGGCCUCGCGCUGAUGGUGCCCUCGGCGGGCGCCUCCCGCUCCGCGGGGUACCGCCCGCCCGAGGCGCCCCCGGCCGACGGGCGCCGCGCCUGGGCGACGCAGCGGGGCGACGUCUACGCGUUCGGCGUGCUGCUCCUGGAGCUGCUCACGGGGAGGCCUGCAGCUUCGGACAACGCCGGGGGAGGGGCCAUGGAUUUGCCGACAUGGGUGCAGUCGGUGGUCCGCGAGGAGUGGACGGCCGAGGUCUUCGACCUGGAGCUCAUGAGGUAUCCUAUCACUCCGCAAAACAAUUUUCAAAAUCAAUUUUCUAUCAUCUUCUUCAUUAUAUUUCUUUCAUAUGUUAAAUCUCCAUCACAUUUCUCAUCCACACGUCAAUACUGGUCUUAAUCUCUAUUUUUUUUACUGGUCUUACUAUAUACUUUUUAUUUAAUUUGUUAUUAGAUUGAUUCUUUAUUUAACAUAGAUCUGAUUUGAAGGUUCUCAGUUUCAGUCUCAAUCCAAUUGGGCCUCUACCCGCUUCGUUUAUAUUUUUUAGAAGAAAAUAAAUUUAACUGAAAAUGUGAAUCAAUUAUAAUUCGAACUUGAAAUCUCGUGUACCAAUCAUUAAACCUUCUGUCACUUGCGAAUCAAUUAGAAUUCGAGCUUGAAAUCUCGUGUAUCAAUCAUUAAAUCUUAUGUCACUUACGCUGGAGACGGUCGGUGCCCUCUAGUGUUAUUAAAUCUUCUUUUAUUUAUUUAAGUUAACAUCUUAGAUUUAACAAAACUAUUUCAAGUCUAGACUAAUAAAUCACUGUACUUUUAUAGUUUAAGUUUUUGAAUAUAAACUAUUAUUUUUUACAUAGAUCAUUUUGCAUAAUUAAUUUUCACAAAUUUUAAGAAACUUAAACAAAUUAAUAAUGUUAUUUUAAAUUUGGUAAAAUAUACGAAAUUUAUCUGAAUUAUAGAUUAUUUUAAUUUGACUAUUCAAUAUUUCAAAAUUUUAAUCUUAUAAUCUAAUCUUUUAUUUUUUUUUAUUUGAGUCAAUUAAUAAUAAUUUGACUAUAAAAUUAAAACAAAUUACUUAAUUUAAUAAAUUUAUAAUUGUAUAAAGGCUUAAUUAAACUCUACUAUAUUGUACUUUUGUGUUAUAUUUAUUUGCUAUAUUGUACAAUUUCUUUUUCAAAAGAUGCCCUUGAAUUAUUGUAUUUUAUCAAUCUUGAUAAUCUCUAUAUUGUACUUUAGACUUGGUCUUUAUUUUUCUAAUUUGUACUAUUUCUUCUUUUCAUAGAUAUUGCUUACCUGUUUUUUUCCUCACCAAUCUCUAUUGUUAACAAAUUUAUUAUUAUAAUAGGCAAAUUAUGACAAUUUUAUUAAGAGACACUAAUUAAAUAGUAGAAAAAAUAUAAAAUAAGUUUUUGAUAGACUCAUUAAAAAUUUCUGUAUAAAAAUAAUUUUUAUUUUUAUUUUUUUAAAUAUAUUUUUUAUUUUUUAUGUCAAAACGAGUUGAAUAUACGCUCUGUCAUCUUUAAUCAGUAUUUUUUUGAUAUUUUUUAUGUAAAAUAAUAAUUCUAUUAUUACUGAAAAAAAAAAUAUNGCGGUAGCACGGAGGCCUCCGUGCUACCAAGUUGUUUUCAAUGAUGUGGUGUCUAAAUCGACGAUCGGCUCCGUUAGACUUGAUCUAUACUAUUAAAAGUAUUUGAAAACUAAAUUUCAUAACUUUUCGACAUCAUUUGGCUAGUGAUCAAAAGAUCUCAAAAUUGACAAUUCUAAUGGUAGAUCUGAUGCAUUUGUGAAUUUAACGGUGUAAAACAAUUCAAAUCUGAUGAAAUUUUUAUAAAAAAUUCUUUUCACUAUUUAGAGUAAGAUCAGUAUCUCUGAUCUUAAAUUUAAGUCUUUUAUCAUCAUUUUUUAUAAGAUUUUUAUUUUCAGCCAUUCAUUUUUAGACUACUCGUUUGAUAGAUAAAUGAUACCGAAAAAUUAUAAAAUUUAGUUUCCAAAUGCUUUUUAUAAUGUAGAUCAAGUCUAAAGGAGCCGAUCGUCGAUUUGGAAGCCGCAUAAUUGAAAACAACUUGGUAGCACGGAGGCCUCCGUGCUACCGAUAGUAUACCAAACUAGCUAUAUAUAUAUAUAUAACCAAGUGGGGACCACUCAACCCUAGGGGGACCACUCAACUCUAAUUGACUAUUAUCAUCCUAACCUUACAAUUUUUCAUCCAAAGGUUAAAAACUUGAUAGUAAAAAAAACGUUUUACUAUUAAUAGUAUUCUGGCCUAAUUCUAUAUAGUUGGACUGGGCUACUAUUAGUAGCAAAAUCUCAUUAUUGCUACCAGUUUUUUAGCCUUUGGAUCAACUUUUUUUAUUAUUUCUAACCAUUGGAUUAAAUACUAUAAACCAGUGGGGACCACUCAACCCUACGGGGACCACUCAACUCUAACUGACUAUUAUCAUCCUAACCCUAUAAUUUUUCAUCCAAGGAUUAAAAACUUGAUAGUAAAAAAAACGUUUUACUAUUAAUAGUAUUCUAGNCUUAAAAAAAGUUUUAUUUUAAUAUAUAAUAAUAUACAUUAUUUGAGAUUAAAUUAUUGUUUAUAUUAAGUGCCUCUGUACGACAUUUUAAUAUAUAUAUAUAUAUAUAUAUAUAUAUAUAUAUAUUAUUACAUAUUUCAAUCCUACGUCUACCACCUAUUACGUUAUAAUUUGUCUCUAUAUAAAAAUUAAAUCUGUAAACUAAAAUUAUACGAGAUAAAUGAAGAAAUGUUACAUUUAUAAUGUAAGAAUAAACAUAUAAUCUAAGCAGGAGCAGCUAUUUUUAACCUAAAACAAGAACUAAAACAUAAUACUAAUAAUUAUAAAACCUUGUUAGAGCUCAAAAAUCAAAAGUAAUUCAUUAACAAAUAAAAUGAAAGCAACUCAAAGCUCAGGGACGAAUAGUGCAAUUUACCUGUCUAUCAAAAGAGUAGUACAAGAAUCCACACAUUCUAUGUAUCUCAUCAUAUUAGACACAUAAACCCAAAGUAAAACAGGAUCCAAUGAUAUGAUGCAAGCUUAGAUUAUUAGUUGAAAUGUCCUUUUCAAACACUGCGAAUUUCACCACUUGUGUCCUUUGAAAUCUUAGUCAAAUUUUAUACUGUUUCUCGGACUAUAAUUUUAAAAUUUAAGUUCUCAAAUUUUAAAUUAUUAGUCGUAUUUUCGAGAAGAAUUUUUUUAGUCGCCAAAUUUAUAUAUAUGUCAACACACCGUAAAAUCAUCAGCUUAAUUUUUAUUCAUCACACAAUUUUAAUCAAUUGGUUUAAAUUUCAAAUAUAGAAAAUCUAUAACUUCAUGGACAGUAGAAUUUGAAUACGAGAUAAAAGAUUAAUAAUUAAUAGAACAUACAUUAGUUUAUGAAUAUAGAGGUAUACCACAUGUGGCAGUAUUUUUUCGCUCUGAGUAAAGAGAAUUGAGACUAAAAUAAAAUAAAUUUUAAAGUUUAGGGUCUGAAACGUCGAAGCUAAGCUACGUACAUUUCAAACACCUGAGCUAAUACGCACAUCUUGUUAAUCAGGAGUCUUACAUGCAUGUAUAUAUAUUUACAUCUAUCACUUGAUGUUGAUGACAGACAUAUGACUAAGUGAAGUGCAUGUCUCAAAGAUAUCAACAUUUUGCUACAUAUAAAACAAUAUUAUACUAAUAUAUUAUAUUAUAUUCUCGUUUCGACCGACACGGAACUCAAAGCACGGCACAAUGACAAGUGGGUCUCGACUUUGUGGAAAUUAAUACGAUCAUCAUAUAUCAUAUAUAUAUAUAUAUAUAUAUAUAUAUAUAUAUAUAUAUAUAUAUAUAUAUAUAUAUGUGAUAUGAUAUGCUCAUUCAUGGAGAGAAGAAAGAGAGGAGAGAGACUGAGAGUGUUUGGUUGGCGGAUUAUAAGCCACGUCUAAGUGAUUAUUUAAGCGAUACGAAUCUUAGAUAUGUAUCCAUCACUAGCUACAUUACUUACACUUGUUGACUCCUAUCCUAGUUAGUGGAUUAACUAAUUAAUAUAUGGACUAGCCAUAUAUAGCUCUCUAUAUUGUAUUCUUCUUUAAAGCCCUCCAUAUAUAUAUAUAUAUAUAUAUAUAUAAUAUAUAUAUAUAUUGAUGAGAAGUGAGACGAGAGAGAGAGAGAGGAGAGAGAGGAGAGAGAGUUGUGUAUAAUAUAUAUUAUAUAUAUAUCACCUCUCUCUCUCUCUCUCUAUAUAUAUAUAUAGAAGAGAGAGAGAGAGAGAGAGGGAGAGAGCUCAGUAAGUGGCGGUAGCACGGAGGCCUCGUGGCUACCAAGUGUUUUCAAUGAUGUGGGUGUCUAAAUCGACGAUCGGCUCCGUUAGGGCAUUGAUCUAUACUAUUAAAAGUAUUUGAAAAACUAAAUUUCAUAACUUUUUCGACAUCAUUUGGCGUAGUGAUCACAAAGAUCUCAAAUUGACAAUUUCUAAUGGUAGCAUCUGAUGCAUUUGUGAAUUUAACGGUGUAAAACAAUUCAAAUCGUGAUGAAAUUUUUAUAAAAUUCUUUUCACUAUUUUGAGUAAAUCAGUAUCUCUGAUCUUAAAUUUAAGUCUUUUAUCAUCAUUUUUUUAUAAGAUUUUUAUUUUCAGCCUUCAUUUUUUAGACUAACUCGUUUGAUAGAUAAAUGAUACCGAAAAAUUAUAAAAUUUAGUUUCCAAAUGCUUUUUAUAUGUAGAUCAAGUUCUAAAGGAGCCGAUCGUCGAUUUGGAAGCCCGCAUAAUUGAAAACAACUUGGUAGCACGGACGGGCCUCCGUGCUACCGAUAGUAUACCAAACUAGCUAUAUAUUAUAUAUAACAAAGUGGGGACCACUCAACCCUAGGGGGACCACUCAACUUAAUUGACUAUUAUCAUCCUAACCUUACAAUUUUUCAUCCAAAGGUUAAAACUUGAUAGUAAAAAAAACGUUUUACUAUUAAUAAGUAUUCUGGGCCUAAUUACUAUAUAGUUGGACUGGGCUACUAUUAGUAGCAAAAUCUCAUUAUUGUACCAGUUUUUUAGCCUUUGGAUUAACUUUUUAUUAUUUCUAACCAUUGGAAUUAAAUACAUAUAAACCAGUGGGACCACUCAACCCUACGGGGACCAUCAACUCUAACUGACUAUUAUCAUCCUAACCCUAUAAUUUUUCGAUCCAAGGAUUAAAACUUGAUAGUAAAAAAACGUUUUACUAUUAAUAGUAUUCAGCUAAUUCUAUUAUAUAUAUAUAUAUAUAUAUAUAUAUAUAUAUAUAUAUAUAUAUAUAUAUUAAAAUCGAAACGACGAAAAAUAGAUCCAGAAAAAAUACUUAUGACUUAAUGCAGGAAAAGAAAACGAUAAGAAAAUAGCACAUUAACAUUUACGUGGUUCAACCAACGGCCUACGUCUUUGGACGAAAACGAAGCAAAUAAUUUAUUAAUGUCGAAAUGCGGAGUACAAGAAAAUCUCUCAAAGACCAAAACUUAAUUGGAUCAUAAAUGCCGAAAUCUGUAUCCAUACGAGUGACUCCAAAUAAGCGGCUCGGCUCCUCUCACCCGUACGGACCAGUCUUACUUGAUGUUCACUUAAUUAAUUAGCAUGACUCUUAAUUUGGUCGCAGCGGCUUCAUUAACAUGGUCGGCAUAUAUAUAGGAUGUGGAUUCAAAUUAGACUAAUUGGAACUAUAAUCUAAUUGGAUUUCUAAACAUAAGUCUAAUCUAAUUCAAUUUGAAUUAGAUUCCGAUUCAUAAUCCAUAUAUGCCAAAUUAAAUCUAAAUUACAUCUAAUCCCAAUUAGAUUAGGAUUUAACUUCAAUUUAGAUAAUGACAAAUCUAAACCAAAUUUAACAAUAUAUAAAGGAUUUUUUUUCCUGUUAUAAUACGAACAUAAACCUAACUAGGCUGGAAUACUAUCAAUAGCACCAAGCUAUUGUUGGUGCUAUUGAUGUUAUUAGAUUCUCGCCCUUGGAUGAAAAAAUAUACGGUUAGAAUGAUAUGGACCUCUAGGGUUGAGUAAGUUAUUGGUUUAAGAGCACAUGAGUAUUUGUGAUUGUAAUUUUUUAGCCGUCAGAUCGUCCUAAGAUCCGUAAAGUAGUAGUAAAAAAGAUUUAACGAGACAUUUCGUUAAUUAAACUGUACGAAUCUCGAUACGAUCUGACAGCUAAAAAAAAAUCAAAAACAUAAGUGCUCCUGUACUUUUAAAAGCUCAAAAACUCAACUAUAUAUAUAUAUAUAUAUAUAUAUAUAUAUAUAUAUAUAUAUAUAUAUAUCGAGAGAGAGAGAGAGAGAGAGAGAGUAGGACUACUAUACUCUUAUGAGUAUUGGACCCUUCGUACUCAUAAGUUAUUUUCGAUGAUGGAGCUUCCAAAUCGACAAUCCACUCCAUUAAAUAUGAUCUAAAGUAUUUGAAACUUAUAGAAAAUAAAUUUUGUAAUUUUUCGAAAUCAUAAUAAAAUCCAUCAAGCGGGCAUAAAAAGAAUGGUCAAAAUCGAAUGACGUCCUAAAAAUGGAUGAUCGGAUCCUUCAAUUUAAAAUCGGAGUUAUUGAUCUUUAUCUUGGUAGUGAAUAGAAUUUUCUAUCAAAAAUUCAACCUAUUCCGAUUCUUUUGCACGGUUAAACUAGCAAGUAUUCCAUACCGGCCGUUAAAAAUUGUCAAUUUUGUGACCUUUUGAUCGUAAGGUAAAUGAUAUCGAAAAAUUAUGAAAUUUGAUUUCUAGAAGUUUUAAAUGCUCUAGAAGAAGUUUAACAAUAUAGAUCGUCGAAUUGGAAGCUCUAUCAUUAAAAACGACUUAUAAGUACGAGGGCGAUCGUACUCAUAAGAGUAUAAUAGCCGGACUCUAUAUAUAUAUAUAUAUAUAUAUAUAUAGAGUCCGGCUACUAUACUAUAUAUAUAUAGAGUCCGGCUACUAUACUCUUAUGAGUACGAUCGCCCUCGUACUCAUAAGUCGUUUUUGAUGAUAGAGCUUCCGAUUCGACAAUCCUUACCGUUAAACAUUAUGUAAAGUAUUUAAAACUUCUAGAAAUCAAAUUUUAUAAUUUUUCGAUAUCAUUUACCUUAUGAUCAAAAGCUUACAAAAUUGAUAAUUUUUUACGGUCGAUAUGAGAUAUUUGCUAGUUUAACGGUAAAAAAGAAUCGGAAUAGGUUGAAUUUUUGAUAAAAAAUUCUAUUCACUAUCUAAAUAAAGAUCAAUAACUCUGAUCUUAAAUUGAAGGAUCCGAUCAUUCAUUUUUAAGAUUUCAUUCGAUUUUAAUCUUUCAUUUUAUACCUGCUUGAUGGACUUUAUAAUGAUUUUGAAAAAUUACGAAAUUUAUUUUCUAGAAGUUUCAAAUACUCUAGAUCAUUUUUAACGGUGUGGAUUGUCGAUUCAAAAGGCCCAACAUCGAAAAUAACUUAUGAGUACGAAGGGCUCUAUACUCAUAAGAUUAUAGUAGCCCUACUAUAUAUAUAUAUAUAUAUAUAUAUAUAUAUNUUAGUUUUAACUUUGUCACUGAUUUAAUAAAAAAAUUAGUUAAGGGGAUAAUAAAAAGAAAAAAAAAAUCACAGAGUAGAAAAGCGAUACAUUUUAAACUACAGGAUACUAAAGUAUAUGUGCAAAACUAAAGAAUUUGUAUUUGGAGUUUUUUCUAUUUUAAUUUUACUUCUAAUUUUUAGUUCAAAGAAAAAGUUUAUUGUAUAUUUAUCUUGCAUUUGUACGAUCAUAGUGGUGAAUUUUUGGAUAAAAAAUUAGAUAAUUGGUAUUCAAUAUCUCGAAGUUUGAGCCUAAUUAUUUUUUUUAUUUCAAGCUAAGUUUAUUUCUUUAAAAUAUUAACGAAGUGAAUAGUAUGCUUCAUUUCUCUCUCUCUCCAAAAUAAAAUAAAACUGAAUAGAUCAAAAUCCAUUUGAAAAAAAUAAUUUAAAACCAAAAUCAAACCAAUAGCAUGGAAAAACUAAACUUAUAAUCCAACGAAAUAUUUUGGUUUGUUUCAAUUUGAUUUGACGACUGAAGAUUUGAAUUCUUUGCCGACGAAAUAAAAAUAUUGCAUAUUUAAUCCUCUUAACUUUUUUUUUUUUUUGAGAAAUAGGUAGCACGCUACCCACUCCGUUUAUUUCAUUUAGAAAUAAACUUGGCUGAAAAUAAAAAUUAACUAGAAUUCGAACUUGGGUCUCAAAUACCAACUAUCAAGCUCUUUGCCAUUUACUCUAGGAACGAUCAGUUAUCCUAGUUGAUUCUCUUAACUUAAACUAUUUUAUUUUUAUUUUUUGUAUACUUUCAGAAGCUUGCAUUAUAUCUUGGAACUAUUUAAAAUAUACCAUGUCUUAACAUACCCAUAUCAUGAUCAGCAGUGAUGUCUUUAAAUAUUAUUGUUUUUUAUUAGUACAUUAGAAUUAUUUCAUCUGUUUUGGAUCUUUCUAUAAUAUUUUUAAUUUUUAAAUUAACGAAAAUGAUGAAGUAGAAGGAUAAAACAUUCUUUUAACCAAAAUUUGGUGUCUUUUAACUAGUCAAGUGAUAUAUUUAAAAAUGGCUAAAUUACAGAAAUUUUUCCCAUCGAUAUCAGUUUUUUCACUUUUUCAUAUUAUUUAACAACCUACAAUUUGUUCCAUUGUAAAAAAUGUUCACGCUUCAUCCCCUGUCGUUAGUGCUGUGUUAGGAUUUCGUUUAUAAAAUGUUAUUAUAUAUUUUUUAUACCAAAAAUAACCUCAUUCUCCUUUCCUCGCCGCCAUGCCCUCUGCUGCCUCGUCAUUUCCCACAUCUCCGUCUAUGCCGACAAACACCCCCUAGUCCUCCUCCGCCGCCUCGCGUUCGCUCCCGUUGCCCUUGCUCACCUCUCUAUCUAUGCCCACCUCGAUUUCUUCCCUAUUAUCGCCGAAAUGGAGGGGCGACGAGAGUGCAGGAGGAGAAAGAGAGUAGGUAAAGAAGAACUGCGACCGAUCGAGGCGCGAGAAAUGGAAGAGAAGAGGCGCCGGAUGAGCCAGAUGAGGGAGGAGACAAAAAUGAUGAGAGGCAAAUUGAUCAUUUCGUCAUCACAGUUCACACCGUUUCCCCUGUAAAUAUUUUUCAUUUUAUAAGAGGGCAAAGUGUAGAUUUUAAAUGACAUGAGGAAAAAGUGAAAAAGAGGAUAUUGACGAGAGUUUUAUGUAGUUUAGUCUUUAAAAAAUUUUCAAUUUGUACAAAUAUACGCCGUAGUUUGAAGUUUGGAGGAAUAAAUGUGAAAUAUGCUAAUUUUGUAGGGAUACAUCUUCAAUUGUUCCAUAUAUAUAUAUAUAGUGGAGUUGAGCUAGAAUACUCUCAAAAGCACCAUGGGUUGGUGCUUUUGAGUUUUUAGCCCUUAGAUGGAAAGAUGUAGGAUUGAGAUGAUGGUGGUAGAUGGUGAUAGGUGGAAUAGUGUUUGAUCCAAAAGCUAUUAGUAAUUAAGAAGUAAAUCCAAUGGCUAGAAAUAUAGAAACACCAAAGGAUUGGUGCUUCUAAAAAUAUUCUAGCUCAAUUCUAUAGAGUGGAUUUUAAUUUGAGUCAUAUGUUAUAUAUCACCCUUUCAUUUUCAAAAUGUGCAAAAAAACUCCUUUUUUUAUUUUUUUUUUAUCACAACUCCUGCUGCCGUUCUUUUUACUAUUUGUCAGGUGGUUGAAAAUUCUAUAUUUUGUUUGGAGGCAAUUUUCUUGGAAAUUACUUUUUUAUUUUCUAAUUUCUAGUUAUUUUGUGACAAAUAGAAAUAAGUGUAAAAUUGUGUUUGAUCUAAGAUUUUUUUGUUUAUGAGAAUAAUUACAAAGUUGUACUUUUUUUACCCAUUGAUAUAAACUCAAUAAUAAUUUUAAGGCUAAAUUACAGAAAGUUUCUUGUCAAUACUCGCUUUUUACUUUCCCCCCUAUCAUUCAAAAACUUACAUUUUGUCCCGUUAAAAAAUAAAAAAUGUUCACUUUGAUCCCGCCGUCAGUGUUUCGUUAUAGUUCCGUUUAUAUUCUAUUUUUUAUACCCAAAAUAUUCCUGAAACUCUUUUUCUUCCUCAUCCUCGGCCGCACCGCCUCGCCCUCCGCCGCCGCACCCUCGCCCACCUCUCUGUCCAUGCCCACACACAUACUCUCACCCGCCUCCGCCGUCUCACCCUCGCCCUCGCCCACGUUUCAAUCCAUGCCCACCCCCAAAAAAAUGAGGGGUAAUUUGGUCAUUUUAUUACAGCGUACCUUCCUGUGAAUAUUUUUUUAUUUUUUAAGACGGUAAAACGUAGGUUUUUGAAUGACAGAAAGAAAAGUGAAAAACCGGAUAUGACGGGGGUUUCUGUAAUUUAGCUUAAUUCUAAUCCACAUGGAAUUUUUUUUUUUCUAGAUAUUAUAUUUUAUAUUUAUUCCUUGGAUAGAGAGAAAUAAUCAAAAAAAUUUAUAUGUAGUUAAUAAAGAACUAAAGACAAUAAAUGAUAGCGAAUUAUGUAUUUAACAUAUUUAUUACUUAUAUAAUAAUUCAUAUUAUAUUACAUAGUAUCUUGCAGAAUAACAUAUAUACAAUAUAAAGGUUAUAACAAAUAUAAUAUAAAGUUAAAUUCAAACAUAUCCCUGCAAACAUAGUGAGUGAAAAAUAUAUUCCUACAAAGUUUAACUUUCAUACAUUAAUUGUCCCUAUAAAAAUUCUAAUAUUUUCAAAUAUGUCCUCUCGUUUGUUACUGUUAGAGAAUUAUUUAUAUUUUUAAUUUUGUCAUCAUAUAUCCCUCCAAAAACCAUAACAGUAUAAUGUAAGAGGGGUAAAAAUGUCAAAAAUUAAUCAUGGUUACCUCUCGUUUGUUACUGUUAGAAAACCGUUAGAAAACCGUUAGAGAACUGUUUAUAUUUUUAAUUUUGCCAUCAUAAAUAUAUCCCUCCAAAAAUCAUAACAGUAUAAUAUAAGAAGAGUAAAAAUGUUAAAAAUUAAUCAGGAUUAAGUAUUUAACCUAUGGUUAACUAAAUUUUUCUAACAGAUUAUAACGGCAGGAGCAUAUUUGAAAACAUCAAGACUUUCGCAAUGACAAUAUAUGAAAGUUAAACUUUGUGGGAAUAUAUACAUAUUUGUCAUUCACUAUAUUUGAAGAGAUUUGUAUGAAAUUAACCCUCUAAUAUAAUAUAACUGCGCUAAAAUACUUCUAAAAUUAUCAAUAUUUUGAUAUUUUCACAUCGUGUUUUGGUAUUCCGAAUCGACGUUCAAUAUCAUUAAAUUUCAUUUGUAUCUCGUAAACUUUUAUAAAUCGAAUUUCAUAAUUUUUUUAUAUUCAUUAUUUACUUAGUAAUUAAGUUGUCUCAAAUACACGUGAUAUACACGGUUAAAUUUAAAUUCAUAAACAUCUUAAACAAUAUAUAAAUAAUGUUGAAAAUUCAUGAAAUUUAGUUUUCAGAGAGUUCAUGCGACAUAAAUCGAUCAUCAGUUUUGAUGCCACGUCAUUAAAUACAAUGUGAGAGUACCAAGAGGUUGGUACUGCUGAAAAUAUUUCAGCUCAACUAAAUAUAAUUAUAAUAAAAGUAGCAAUAGUAGUUGCUGUAGUUGUUUUGUUAUUAUCAUCAUCAAAAUUAAUAAUAAUAGUAAUAAUAAUAAUAAUAAUAAUAUUAUUAUUAUUAUUAUUAUUAUUAUUAUUAUUAUUGUUUUUCUUAUAAAUUAUGACUAUUAUAUAACAUUGCAUGAUGUUUUAAUAUAUCUAAAUAUGUAAUAUGACCUUUAGAUGAAUAUUAUUAUUCUAGGGAGACCACUCAAUCCUAAGGGGGACCACUAUAAUCCCAACCCUAUAAUACUUAAUCCAAUGGCCAAAGGUCGGAAGCGUACUCUCUUAUACUUUCGAUAGCAUAGUCGCUCUACAAUGGCCAAUGGCCAAAAGUCGGAAUCAUCAACUCUCUUAUACUUUUGAUAGCAUAGUAAAUAGCUCACACUAUUUUCGAUAGCAUAGUAGCUCUACAAUGGCCAAUGGCCAAAAGUCGAAAGCAUCAACUCCCAUAUACUUUCGAUAGCAUAGUAGCAUACACACACACAUGCACACGCACAAGCAGGUGCGCAUGCACACACGCACGCACUCCCCCUUAUGCUUUCGAUAGCAUAUAGCAUAGUACCUCACACACACACGCGCGUGCACACACACACGCCCGCGGACACCCACCCUUAUACUUUCGAUAGCACGCGUACGCGCGCCCGCGCACACCCACCCUUAUACUUUCAAUAGCAUAGUAGUACACACACACACCCCCCCUUAUACUUUUGAUAGUAUAGUAGCUCACAUACGGGCGCGUGCGCACGCGCGCGCCCGCGCGCACACACACACACACACACACACACACACAUAUAUAUAUAUAUAUAUAUAUAUAUAUAUAUAUAUAUAUAUAUAUAUAUAUAUAUAUAUAUAUAUAUAUAUAUAUAUGAGAGAGAGAGANAUGAGAGAGAGAGAGAGAGAGAGAGAGAGAGAGAGAGCUAGGCUGGUAUACUAUCGGUAGCACAGAGGCCUCCGUCCUACCAAGUUGUUUUUAAUGAUACCGCUUCCGAAUCGACGGUCGACUCCGUUAGACUUAAUCUACACUAUUAAAAAUAUUUGGAAACUAAAUUUUAUAAUUUUUCGGCAUUAUUUAGCUAGCGAUCAAAAGAUCUCAAAAUUGACAAUUUUAAUGGUAGAUGUGAUGCAUUUGUGAAUUUAAGGGUGUAAAAUACUCCAAAUCUUAUGAAAGUUUUAUAAAAAAAAAAUUUUACUAUUUAGAGUAAGGUCAGUACCUCUGAUCUUAAAUUCAAGUCUUUUAUCGUAAUUUUUUAUGAAAUUUUUAUUUUCAGCCGUCCAUUUUUAGACUGCUCGUUUGAUAGGUAAAUGAUGCCAAAAAAUUAUAAAAUUUAAUUUUCAAAUACUUUCAAUAAUAUAUAUCAUAUCUAAGGGAGCCGAUUGUCGAUUUAAAAGCUGCAAUAUUGGAAACAACUUGGUAGCACAGAAGCCUCCGUGCUACCGAUAGUAUACAGCCUAACUCUCUCUCUCUCUCUCUCUCUCUCUCUCUCUCUAUAUAUAUAUAUAUAUAUAUAUAUAUAUAAUCACACUUUUCUAUUAAUUAUUUUAAUUAUAUUUAAUAAGCUGAGCAUAAAUAUGAAAAUAGCUCAAUUCCUCAAAAGAGGUGGAACCAUAGCGCUUUAUUCUGGGUAAGAUUUGACCGGAAUAGUUUUUCUGGACAUACAAAUACUUGAUUUUUCAAAUAAUAUAUUAGGGUUUUUUUUUCACUGAUGAUAAAUUUACAGAAUAUGGUUCUUAUGAUAGCAAAAAUCAAAAUUGAGGAUUUUGUACAUGUUUGAAAAUCUAGGAUGGUAAAAUACAGAGCAUAAUCAGAUAUGCGAAGUGAUUUUCUGUAAUUUACCCUUCAUUUCAUUUGCCAAUAAACACUCUUCGGGAGUUCCUUUUAUGCUAAUGCAUGUGAGCUUAUGUCUAGCUAACUCUCAAAAUACGCAGUUACAAUAUGCUAAUUAAUUUGUUUGCUUCAGUUUACUUAAAUAUAUCUAAGUAAGUUUAUGAUUCAAUCUUUCUUUAUUAGAUUAUUUCAAUCAUUAUUUAUUAGCUGGAUAUUAACUAUGAGAAACUAAAAAAACAACGUCAUUACGAAACUAUCUACCACAAUGUUCAAAUCCAAUUCAUCUUGCAUUUAAAAAUAGAUUCCAAUUCUACAUUAUCUCAUACAUCAAUUUUCAAUACCUGUAAGUUUCGUUUGGCUCAUAGUUUGUAAUAUUCUAGCUAGUAAUCCAAUAUACUUGCUAUUAAAAUAUUCAAAUCUUGCCAUUCAACUAAAAUUAAGCAGUUGCAAAAGAUGUUAGUGACGUAGUUCAAUUAUUAUACAUUAAUCCUAGCUUAAGGGAACAGUGCUAGCUAGAUUAAUAUGGAUUAGUAAAUAUUCUUAUUUUCAUACUUGAUGGGGAUUGUUAAUAGUCUAUUAAGAAGUAUAUACUAGCUCUUAAUAACCUCCCAACUCAACAAGAAGCUUGAUGAUUAAGUUAGUAAUAAACUUUCAUUACAAAUUAAUAUAAAAUAUAUAAUAUUCCAAAAAUAUUACAAAUCUUAAACUUCAAGAACUUAAAAUAAUUUAAGAAUGAUGUUCGGAUAGUGAAGAUUAAAUUAUAGUUAAACGUGAACAAUCAUUUACACGUACUUGUAGCAUUGUAACAUAUACGUACGUACACACCAUGCACGUAUAGGAAAACCACUUUUUCCUUGAAAGUAGGAAAAAUACUUUGAAUCUUCUUUUUAGAAUAUUGCUCUUACAAAAAUUUAAUAUAUUAGCAAUUUUUUAUAAUAUUUUAAGCUGCAGAUAUGUAAAUUAAUUAAAAAUCUGCACCUUAUUAUUAUUAAUAUAUUAACAAUUUAAUAUAUUAACAUCUUAUAAUAAUAUAUUAAAAAUUUGUACAUUCUUGCAGCUUUAUAGCGAAUUAUAUUAACUUAUUUUAGAAUCCAAAAAUUACUAUUUUCGAAUAUUAAAUACAGUAUUUGAAAAUAAAAGGGAGACUAAAGACUUAUUUCUUCUCUUGUUUCUGAACGAGAGAGAGAGAGAGAAUCAGUCACUCUCUACGUAUGGACCCCAGAGUCGGUAUAUAGUAUAUAUACAUCGUAUUCUACCAAAAGGGCAAAGAAAAGAAAAUGAAAUAAAAGAAUGCUUUUUUUUUGUCAAAAAAACAUAAAUUAUAUUUAAUGAUGUCAUGAUUUCGUGGGAGCAUGCGAGAGCCAGAAACAUCAUUCAAAACGCAAAGUAUUACAAAAAUUAAUAGAAAACUAACUAAAAUACCUUACACGGGUUAUCUGAAGUUCUUAACUCCCUCUCGGUCGGAGUCAACAAUUAACAAGUUAUAUAUCACGAAGAUUAAUUAAUUAAUUAAUUAAUUAAUUAUAAUAAUAGAAAUUAAUUAAUUAUCGACGUACGCUACGACCUCCGAGCUAGCGGUGCUAGUUGGAUACCGGCCGGUUCGGUCAAGACCCGGCCGGCGCGAGGCUGAGCUGCAGGUCCAAUCCGCCGUCCGCCGCGGCGCUGGUCGGCCCCACCGGGCUCCCGGAGGUCCCCGCGCCGACUCGGUUGUAGGCGAACACCGCGGCGGAAUUUGACGGCGGCAGCGGUGCUGGGGAAUUCGGAAACACGCAGCCGUGCGACACGUGGAACGGCGCAGCGGCGGCGGUGCCGCGGGAGAAGUAGACCCAGGAGGCGGCGGAGACGGAGGCGGAGGAGUCGGCGGGGAGGAGGUGCGGCGGGGGGGCGAAGGCGGAGGCCAUCGGGUUGGAGCGGGGGAAGAGCUCCCCGGCGGCGCCGCCCGGCCGGUAUGCGGAGGAGGCGGCGGCGGCGGCGGCGGCAGCGGCAUGCAUCUGGGCGCGCUUCAGCUGCUGACGCUCCUUCUUGUGGGCGUUCUGGUGCCCGCCCAGCGCCUGCGAGUUCGCAAACUCCCGGCAGCAGUACUGGCACUCGUACUUUCGCCCGUCCCCCGCCGUCGCCGUGGUGAUCGACGACGACGACGACGGCGACUCCGAAUUCCCGAUCCCCGCCGCCGCCGCCUCGUCGUAGUCCUCCGCGGGCACCUGAAACCCGAACAGCUUCACCCUGGAACUGCUCAUCGUGGAUAUAUUAAUAAGGCCUCGAGCUCGAGCAACGACACUUGGGAAAGAAUUAAAGAUAGAAGAGGAAAUAUGGAAGAGGGAGAGGUGCACAACUGGAUACCGAGGUGAAUGAUUUGAGUAGUAUAUAUAUAAUAUGAAUAAUAUGUAUGGCGAUCGAAGGAAGUAAAAAAAAAAAAAAAGAAAAGAAAAAGAAAAAUAAAAAGAAAUAGGGAGAUAGGGGAUGAGAACACAGAAAUAAUGUAUUUGUGGGGGAACAGAAUCCACUGAGAAUGAGGGGAGAGGGGGGGUUAGAUUGCGCCUAUAAUGUUGGUCUCUGCAGCUAAAGUCGUUUUAUAUUCGUGGAGUGUGGCUUAUUUAAUAAGCUAAUAUGUAACUACACAUAUAUAUAGCUCUAGUCUCUAGUAGAGACAACGUAAUGUAUGUAUAUGAUAAUGGUGUGAUGUAAAUUUGCGGAUAAGUAUAAACAUGCACUAAACUGCACCAUUAGCCACUGGAUAGAUAACCAAAAGUUUACUUACUUUGACCACCACUGCCCAGAACAAUAAUUUAUACUCUUUACACAGAGACGAGAGCCCACCAACUUGGGUUGGAUCUCACUUCAUGUUCAUGUUGGAACUAGCUAAUGUCCCGCACGAUACAGCGAAAAAAUAAUAUUUUAAUUAUUUUUCAUAAUAUUUAUUUUUUUAUGUUCUGGUAAUUCAAAAUAUAAUUGUUCUAUAUCACGACCAUCAUUUCUUUGUCUCUGGAAUAAAUCUUUUGCUGUACUACAAUGUAAUGUACGGAAUUUUCUAAAAACUAAUUAUUUUAUUAAUAUUUUUUAACUUUUAAUAUUUAUAUAGUGAAGGUAUUCUAAUAAUUUUAUUUAAAAAAUUAAUUAAAUUUAAUAGUUUUGAUAUCUAUUUUAUAAAUAAAUUUUUUUAACUAAAACGCUAUAGUUUUAACUUGUUAAAACUAAACUUUAUUUAUAUUAAAGUUAAAAUCAAAUUAAAGAAUAUAUAUAAGAAUAUCUUAUACACCGGGUGCAUAAUUUUGUAAGCACUCAAGUGCAGCAAUAUUAAUUUCUGUCUACCAGCUACCACCGAUAAAACAAUUAGAGCCAAACAAAUAUAUAUUGCAAAACAGAUCUAAAAAAUAAAUUAAAUAAUAAUUUGUAUCUAGACUGUAGCAAUAAUUUCGAAAGUGUACCUAUUUUAUAAGACCCAAACAAAUGUCAAAUCAAGGAUCUAGAAUAACGGUAAAAAUCUAUUAAUUUUUGUGUAUAAAUUUCUUAUUAGAAAAAAUUUCAAAUACCAUCCAUAUGAUUUCGCACUUUCUCACUUUAGUACCAUGUGGUUUAAAGUGUAUCAAUUUAGUACCAUGUGUAGGGAUGCAAACGGGGCGGAUCCGGGGGGGGGGAGAGUUCCCCCACCUCCCGCUCCAUUUUUUAUCGGGGCGGGGCAGAUUCGGGGCGGGUUACUUUUCAUUUUAUUUUUGGCUCCCACUUACCGCUCCAUUCGAGGCGGAUCGGGGCGGGAGCCGGAUUUUUGACAGAUCGGGGCGGAUUGAAGGAAGAAAAGAGUCUCCCACCUCCCGCUCCAUUUACUUGGCGGAUCGGGGCGGAUUCGGGGCGGGUUAUAUUUUUUUAUAUUUUUUGUUCCCACUUACCACCCCAUUUGGGGCGGAUCGGGGCGGAGCUCCACCAACCCGGAUCCAUUUGCAUCCCUAACCAUGUGGUUUUAUUUUCUCUUUUUAUUAUUCAUUCCACUAAUUUUUUUCGUUAAAUCAGUAACAAAGUUAAAACUAAAUGGUACUAAAAGUAAAUAUAUUCAAUAAACCUAAGUGCAGCAUCUAAAGUUUUUUUGUAUAUAAUUUAACGAAAUAUUAACGGAGAAGCUGUUGAGAAGAGAAAAUGAAACCAUAAGAUACAAACUUGAUACACUUUAAACCACAUGGUACUAAAGUGAGAAAGUGCAAAAAUAUAAAGAUGGUAUUUGAAGUUUACCUUUUUUAUUAAUUAUAGAUUGUAUAUGAAUAUGUUUUAUACACUCGGUGUACAACUUUUUUACACCGUAUGAAAUUUUAAUUUUCUUAUAUAGAUCAUUAAAAAUUGGGUUGAUCCAUGCAAUAAAAUUUUGCACUUGGCGUAGACAAAAAUAAAAAAGAAAAAGUGUUGAGAGAAAAGGUCACGUCCCGCAUUCCUCGUUUUCCCGGGCACGCUAACAGACCCGCCGUAUACAAAAAAAAUUUUCUUGUAUACGUGUGACACCCUAAUAGUCCCACAUCGGAUGGGAAUGGGGUUGUCAUUGGGUUUAUAAGAGACUUAGACACUAGUAAUAAUAACUGGGCUUAAGCAUUUUGGGCUGUUGGUUUGGGCCCAACGAGUUAUUGUUGCUAGUGGGCUGGGUCGUUACAUUUGGUAUCAGAGCUGGUUCACCAGCCGGAAAUGUGUGGCGAGUCUCGGCUGAGCCAGGGUCUGAAAGACAAGGUGGCUGACUCUGCCAGGGUCUGGAUGACAAAGGCUAGCGAGACGAGUCUCACAUCGCCUGGUGAUCUUGGGCUGUGUGUGUGAUUGGACUGACGAGGACGUCAGGGCCUUAACGGGGGGAGUCUGUGACACCCCAACCACAUCGGAUGGGAAUGGGGUUGUCAUUGGGUUUAUAAGAGACUUAGACACUAGUAAUAAUAACUGGGCUUAAGCAUUUUGGGCCGGUUGUUGGGCCCAACGAGUUAUUGUUGCUAGUGGGCUGGGUCGUUACAAUACGAAGCGAAGCUGUAUAUGUACCUGCAAUCAUACAAUACUACAAGCAGUAGUAUAGAGCUGUUAGAAAGGAACAAAAUAUAAAUAAAAACAGAAGUUCACUAUAUAUAUAUAUAUAUACAUAACAUUCAGACAUACAAAACGCUCGCUCAAGCGAGAUACAACAUAUGUAUACGAACUCAAAACCACCACUACCUGUAGCUGGUAUACUCUAGAUCAGCAGCAACUGGGAAGGGAUCUAACUCGCGACUCCCUUUCCACGGUCCGAAUCAGCAGCAGCAGCACUUGAAGAAGAAGGCUUUACAAAAGAUUCCAACAACUGGGCGUGAGAACUACUGCAAAAAGAAGCAGUCCUCAGUGGGUACCGCUACCGACCUCAACGGCUCGCCCACUAAGUCUACAGAUGUAUGCUCAAAUAAUAGUAAGAAAACUGAAAACAAUCUAUAGCUACAUGCCACUAUACUACCAUGAUUCGACACUACUAUCUGUAGAAUAAAACACGCUCUGACCCAACUCACUAAGGACUGUAAAUAUAUCUGUCCCAGGAACUGUGAAUACACCCAUCCCGCCUGUCGAAGCUAUACAGCUACCUCCACACUAAGCAGUCCGUGGAGAGCAAGUCCAAACAAGACACAACGACACCAACGUGAACGCACAAAACCCGACUACGGAGUGGCACUCGUGGGCGCUACCCAACCGAGUAUGUAAGCGUAUCUCUGUCGAGCUCAAUCAGGCUCUCACAGGCUAUAGUCAAAUAAAUAGGGUCUAAAGAUCCAACUCACGUGCCCUCGACACAAUCUAAUACAAAAACAACAAUCUGGGUCCACCGUCAAUCCCGACGGCACCCGACAAUCCGGAACAGCCUAAACACUGCUGUAAAAUAUAAGCUCGGUAUCUCAGCACGAGCAUAAUUAUAUUCUACACUAUCCUGGGUAUCCACCGCCCACAAACUACGGUGAAAUACUCAAACUACGGCUCCUAGAGCUAAAUCUGAUAGUUUAAGCAUAUGACGGUGUAGAAUCGCUGGUUUUCUCCUAAAUCAUAUCCAAGGCCAACAUGUAUAUAUAUAACUAACAUAUUAGGCUCCAAUUCAGAUUUUAAUCAUGCUAAAUCAAUGAAUCGGGCAACUAUAAUAUGCUAAACAAAACGACGAAUACAUAUCGACUAUAUUAACUUAGAAGGAAAUCCGCAGAAUUCGGUAAGCAUCACAUUUAACCCACCUCUCGCGCAACUCCACGGCAGCAAUAAGGUCACGAAAACACCAAGAGGCUCAGCCGAGAUCACUCUGCAAUAACCACAAUACUUCUCCAAGGCUCUACACAUCAAGGAUACUAUAAUUCCAUCAAUCAUAAGAAAUUCAGCACUUAAGCUUAACUUUUCCCCAAUUACAAUGCUAACUUCACCUUCCAAGCUCCAAUUCAAGUGAGAAGAAGUUCCAACAGCAGUGUACUAAGAUGGAAUAAUAUCCUCUGGUCUAAAACCAAUCUCCUCUCAAGAUCUAAACAUGAAACAUCAAAGUUGCAUCAAUAAUCCCAAAUUUCAGCACUUAAGCUUAAUCUAACAACUUCAAUGUCACAACUCACCAAUCAAUCCCCAAAUUCACAAUUCAAAUGAUAAACACCUUCCAAAGCCAGUAGGGAAAGGUAGUGCAACUUCCACUGGUCAAAAAUCCAGCACUCUCCACGAAUUGCAUCAGGAAAAAUCCCAAAAACUCAAAAUCAACCUCAAUGCAGCAGCAGACCAGAAAAAUAGUAAUUCGACCAUACUAACCUCAAUCAAAUUCUGUCAAAUUGGGCUCCACAGAUUCCUCCGGAAGUCUAAAAUCCAGCAAACCAAGUUUCGUGGUAAACAGAGCUUUCUACGUCACACACGAGCUAAAACACCGAAGGUCGCUGCAGAAAAACUGCUAGAACUGCAGCCUUCAAUAUGGAGAGUGAGCAAUUGAUGAAAAUUGGAGUAAUUUGAGGUGUUAGAUGCAAUUCUAAGCCUUUACUGUGAAGAGAGGAUAAAAAGAGUUCACUGGGGACGAACUCCAGCUAUUUAUAAGGUGAUAGAAGCGUCCAAAAAGCUUCAGGAACACAAGCUGCUAACUUGAUCACCUUGCAGAAAAGGCCACUUUCGGGCGCCCAAAACUCCCCUCUGGGCGUCCGAAACCUCCAGGCUGCACAAGUCCACCACUUCGGUUCCUCCGCCCGCGGUAUGCUGUUCCCCUAUCGUGGUCCGGCGGAUCCCACCUACCACAAGCUACGUGUCAACUCAAACAAUAUUCACAAGGUGACUUUUCAGACCCAAUUCUGGGCGCCCGAAACCAGGACCCGAAUUGGCUUCUAGUUCUGAUCAGUUCUGCACUCAAGUUCUGGGCGACCCAAAUCCAGUUCUGAGCGCCCGAAUCUGGUAAAACUCCAGUUUUGCUUAUUUAAAUACGCCAAGUCCAUUUAUGCAUCCAUUUCGUGUAGAAAUGACUCCGACUCAGUCCGACACUCUCUAGAUGUGUCGACCAGUCACUAAUACUGUAACCAAUCCUAUCCAAACCUCAGGAACACUACAGAAAAAAAAUAAAAAAAAAAAAAGGAUUGUAUAUGAUCAUAUCUUAUACACUCGGUAUACAAUUUAUUUUACACCAUAUGAAAUUUUAAUUUUGUUAUAUCAACUAUUAAAAAAUAGGGUUGGUCUAUGCGAUAAAAUUUUACACUUUGUGUAAACCUAAGUGGGGCAUCUAAAGUUUUUUUAUACAUAAUUUAAUGAAAUAUUAACGGAGGAGCUAACAAAAAGAGAAAAUAAAAUCAUAGGAUACUAACUUGAUACACUUUAAACCAUAGAGUAUUAAAGUGAAAAAGUGCGAAACUACGGAGGUGGUAUUUGAAGUUUACACUUUUUAUUAAUUAUAGAUUGUAUAUGAGCAUUUCUUAUACACUCGGUGUACAACUUUUUUUAUACCGUAUGAAAUUUUAAUUUUUUUAUAUCGACUAUUAAAAAAUAGGGUUGGUCUAUGUAAUAAAAUUUUAUGCUUGGUGUGGGUAAAAGUAAAAAAGAAAAGGUUUUGAGAGAAAAAAAAUUAAAAAAAGAAUUGUAUAUGGGCAUAUCUUAUACACUCGGUAACUUUUUUUAUACCUUAUGAAAUUUUAAUUUUGUUAUAUCGACUAUUGAAAAAUAGGAUUGGUCCCUACGAUGAAUUUUAUAUUUGGUGUAGACAAAAAUAAAAAAGAAAAAGUGUUGAUAGAAAUAAAAAUAAAAAAAAGGAUUGUAUAUGAGCAUAUCUUAUGCACUCGGUGUACAAUUCUUUUUAGAUUAUAUGAAAUUUUAAUUUUGUUAUAUCGACUAGUAAAAAAUUUAAAAAAUAAUUGCAUAUGAAAAUAUCUUAUACACUCAGUGUACAAUUUUUUUUUACCCCAUAUGAAAUUUUAAUUUUGUUAUAUCGACUAUUAAAAAAUAGAGUUGGUGCAUGCAAUAAAAUUUUACACUUGGUGUAGGUAAAAAUAAAAAAAGAUAUUGAGAGAAAGAAAUAAAAAAAAAGGUAUAGGAUGUGUGAAGAGAGGUAGAGAGAGAGAGAGAAAAAAAAAAAAAAAAAAAAAAAAAAAAAAAAAAAGCAGACCCCAUGGAGUAGGAUGUAUGGUAUGGAUACCCGAAAUUUAUUCGAAUCCGACCCGAAUGAAACGGAUAUUACUCCAAUGGAUAUGUAUAUGGAUUCGGAUAUGGAUAUAAAAAAUAGAAACCUGACAGAUAUGGAUUCAAAUAUGGAUUUGAUUGUACCCGACCCGAACCUGAACCGAACCCGAACCCGACUCGAACCCGAAUUUAUUUUGUAUUAUAUAAUAUAUAUAUAAUAUAUAUAUAUAUAUAUAUAAUAUAUAUAUAUAUAAUAUAUAUAUAUAAUAUAUAUAUAUAUAUAUAUAUAAUAUAUAUAUAUAAAUUGAUGUUAUAUUUGAAUUAUAUUUUAAAAAUUUAGAUUUAACAAAUAUUUUGAAAUAUUGAAAAAGAAAUAACUAUUUCGGGUUCAAAUUUUUAGGUAUGGUUCGGGUUCGGGUUCGGGUUCGGAGUCGGGUUCGGAUUCGGGUUUUAAAAAUUCGCUCCAAAUCCAACCCGUGACAUCUCUACCAUGGAGGAGGGGCCCGCGUACGCUCUGCGUUUCAAUUCUAUGUAUAUAUAUAUAUAUAUAUAUAUAUAUAUAUAUAUUAGUAUAUAGAAACGUAUGAAUGUGAUAACUUAUUGCAAUAAAUCUUAUACCUAAGUUCAACAAUUAAUUAAUUUAACAGUGAUGGUGUAGCAGUAGUAUGCAGCUGAAUUAUUGUUAUAUGAUCACAAGGAAUAUUAAGAUUCAACUGUUACAACAUUAGCAAAAUUGACAUGGCAAUUUGAUUAAGAAAAUUUUAUACUCAUGUAAAUGUUGUGUGUUGUCCAAAUGACUACUCCAUUUUUUAUGAAAAUUUCAAUAAAAUUUAAAAAUGUGACAUAAUUGAAACUGGAACCGGCCGAAUCCGACAAAGUAUGAACUUGAAUUCAACGAUGUAUCUCUAUCAAGUUCUAAUUCGAACAUAGUUACUAUGUUACCGACCGUUCCUAACGCAGCGACAAAAAGUUUGAUGAUUGGUACUCAAAAUUUCUAGUUUGAAGCUUAGUUGCUUCACAUUUCCAACUAAGUUUAUUUUCUUCUCUCAAAAAAAAAAGUUACUACUAGGGGUGGUAAUUCAGCCCACUGUUCGCAAGCCAGCUCGUGUUCGGCUCGAAAUGAGCUCGCAGAUCGAGUCGCUCAUUUAAUAACAAGCCAAACACGAGCUUAUUUUUUUAGCUGUUUAAUAAACGAGCCGAACACGAACUGGGUCAACUCGCUCGUAUUCUGCUUGAUAACAGCUCGAAUACAUAUAUUUUAUAUUUAUAAAUAUAUAUAAAUAUAUAAUUGAUUUUUAGCUUAACCUAAAUAUAAAAACCAACUCAAUUAAAACAAGUUAUUUAUAUGUAAAAUUUAACUACUAGAUCAAAGUUAAUUAAGUAAGAUUUCAUAAAUUUAUUUUCUAUACGUAUUCUUCAUAAUUCUUUUAACUUAUUGUUCAUAAGUCAUCUCGUGUUCAGCUCGUUAAUGAACGAGCCGAACACGAGCCGAAUUUUUCGGCUCGACACUUCAACGAGAAACUCGUGUUCGGCUCAUUUAUAAAACGAGACUGAACGCGAGCGGCCUCAACUCGCUCGCGUUCGCUUGUUGACACCCUAGUUCUACUCUAUGUUGGUUCACAAUUUAUGCCUAAAUGCGGCGUUGUGUUCAGCUGUGGAGCUUGCCGACAGUCUGGAGAAUGUCGGGACAAGUCCGAGUCGCGUUCGCGUCAAAUAAAUGUAAAACGGACUCCGUGCGACGCGAGGGCAGCUUAUAGCGAAGAAAUCUGCAAAACUGCAGAUUUCUCUGCUUGCUGUACCGGUAAACCAGCGUGGCUGUACCGGUACAACCAUCGCGCAGAGGAUUAGCAGCUCCCAGGUUAGCUCUUGUACCGGUACAAGAGCCCGUGUACGGUACAAGGGGGUAGGUAGAGGGUUAAUUUGGUAAUUCCCUCCUCGUUUGUUUCACCCCUCACUCCCCUCUAUAUAGCUUCGUGUAGAGAGAGAGGAGAGAGGUCUUCUUGAUGCAAUUCUCCUCUCUCACUCUCACUCUCAUCCGUUGAAGGCUUAGGAGCUCGUUGGAGUUUUGUCUGCGCGUCGUCGCGCGCGAGGCCAUUCGAGCUUGUGUUUGCGCCGGGGUAGCGCCGUGGAGGCCAGGGAGCAGGUAUUUUCGCCGUCUUGCUGUCACUCGGUGCUCGGCGUUGUCGAGGUGGGUAUUUCAUUAAUUCUUGAUUUUUAGACAAGUGUUUACUAUUUCUACUCAGAUAGUUAUUGUUUGCUGAAAUCACCGUCGACUGUUAGUAUUUUAGCUCGUUCUCGAGUAGGAGCAUCGGAUUGCGACGAGACUUGGUUCGUUGGAUUCUGGACUUCGAAAGGAAUCCAUGAACCCUUACCUGUGGUUUUUGGUGAAGGUUAGCUUUGUCUAAACCCUUCUCUUCUUGCUGCUGUAUUUUUGGACUGAAUGGGGAUUUUCGACGUUGAUAGCUUCGAGUUAGCGCAAUUCUUGGGUUCGACAGGGCUACGAUCGACCAGCAGGUGGCCGCACAGCUGUGAGAGUGUAGCCGCUGCCAGGGGAUACCUUUCGAGGUGGGUUUACAUCAGUUUAUUCCUAAGUACCGUAAUCGUCGACAUGUAUGAUUUUUCAGUUCGGUAAUCAUGUUGUAGCUUGAUAUUCGUGAUGCUAUCCUGGAUAAAAUCAGUAUUGAGAACAUGACGAGUAAAUCUUAAAUGUACAUGUUGGACUGGGAUUUCACUUAGGAGAAAAUACGAUUGGAAUCGUCAUAUGCUUAAACUACCAGAUUUAGCUCUAGGAGCCGUGAUUCGAUUGUAUCGUUGCGUAGCAGUGCGAUAGAUACCUGGGGUAGUUUAGAAGGCAUUUACGCUCGUGCUGGGAUGCCGAGCUUAUUUUUCAACAGAGUUUAGGCUGUUUCGGGUCGUUGGGUGCCGUUCGGGUUAGCGGUGGACCCAGAUUCUUGUUUUGCCCACAGAUUGGCCGAGGGCACGGGGUUUGGUUUGUAGACCUGUUUUGACCCUGUUCACUUGACUUUGGCUAGUUGGAGCCUGAUUGAGCUCGACAGAGAUACGCUGCAUAUCGUUGGGUAGCGCCACGAGUGCCACUCCGGAGUCAGGCUUUGUGCUUUCGCGUUUGUGUCGCUCAUGCCAGUUGGACUUGCUCUCCACGGACACAGUUAGUGUGGAUAGAGCCCGAUAGUCGCAACGGCAGGACGGAUGUAUUCACAGUCCGGGGACGGGUAUGCUUACAGUCCCGGUUGGUGGUCAGAUUUGACAUUUCUACAGUUGGUUAGUGUAGAGCAGAUGUGUAGUGAUCGAUAGCGGUAGAGUUACUUCAUGCUUUUCUGACUACUCUCGCUCCCUUCUGUAGACUUAGUGGGUGGACCGAUGUUGUUUUGGGCGGUACCCACUGAGGACUACUUCUUUUUACAGUAGUUCUCCACGCCCAGUUGUUAUCCAUGUUUUUGCAGAGCACAGUUUCGGCUGCUGCGCUUCUCGCGGAUCACGAUCGAGGCAAGGGCGUCGCGAGUUAGAGCCUACCCAUCGUCUGAGCUAGAGAUGCCCUACUGCAGGUAGAUGUUUUGUUUCGAGUUUCUGUACAUAGUAGACUUAACUCGCCAGUGCGAGUAGCUCUGUAUUUUGGAUUUGGACUAUGUAUACGAAACUCAGUUUGUUUAGCUUCUGUUUUCUCUAGCAGCUCUCUACUACUGUUCGUAGUAGUGUUUGAUUUACAGGUACACUGUCGCUUCGUAUACAGAAAAAUUUCUUUGUAUACGGCGGAUUUGUCGCGUGCCCGGGGAACGGGACAUCCGCGGGCGUGACAGUGUCGCGUAUUUUGGAUUUGGACCAUGAAUACGAAACUCAUUUGUUUAGCUCUGUUCUCUAGCUCUCUAACUACUUUACUGUCGUAGUCGUGUUUGAUUUACAGGUAAGCUGUCGCUUCGUAUACAGAAAAAAUUUCUUUGUAUACGGCAGAUUUGUCGCGUGCCCGGGAACGAGAACAUCCAAGGCGUGACAGAUUAAGUUUGUAUCAGAGCUUUGCUAUAGGUCGUUAGGACCUAGGAAACCUAAGUUUGGCAAACCUUAGGAAAGCAAGACGCGAGAGGCGUAAUUUAUUGCGAAAGUCAAUGAUUAUUUGUUCUAACUCCUCCUAGAGUUGAGUGAGUGACUGAAGAGUGUCUGUUUUGGCUGAGAAAUUAUGUUGGCUGCAGACGACAUAAUUUUGGAGGGAAACCAGGGACGCCUUCCAGACUUUCGUUGAUUGGGUCAAGAGUGUUUGUGUUUCAACUGACCCCGAUCUAUUCUUGCAGCUAUGUAUCGUGCCGAGGUCGACCGUCGUUGCGAGAGCGUGCCAGUUGGCGCGGGAUCGUGCGGGAUCCCUGAGAGACCUGAGCAGAUGGAGCAGAGUACUCGGCAGGAGCAGGGUGACAGACAGAGGCGAGUGCACCUCGAAUGAGUAGAGCAGAGGGCCGACCGAGGCUAGCGCUCCCUGAUCUUAGUGCACAGUUGGCUGCCCUGACUGAGGUGACGAGGCAGCAGGGGGAGUUAUUGCAGAGGUUGUGUGAGAAGAUAGCUCAGCCACCGAGUUCAGUACCGAGAGUACCAGAGUCGCCAGUUCCACCCCCGAUUACUCCAGUGACCGCACUAGCUGCAGCAGUUCCUCCGUCGGCAGCAGUUCCAGUAGCGCCAGUUGCGUCUGCUAGGGGGCGAGUACCGUUGACUGAGGCCGAGCAGGAGCGCUGGACGGAGAGGUUAGCACGUUUUCGUCGAUUUGACCCACCGAUCUUCGACGACAGAGGCACUGAGGCCUGGAUUGUUGAGGGAUAGGUCAGUGCGAUGGAGAAGUUAUUCAAGAAUCUGUUCGUUCCAGAGUGGGAGCAGGUACCUUUGGGAGUACACUGUCUGUCAGGUGAUGCACAUGAUUAGUGGCGCAGAGCGAGGCGAGACCAGGGACUGGUGGCGACACAGUUGAGGUGGGAUGAGUUCUGUGGAAUGCUGUAUGGGAUGUAUUUCCCCAACAGCAUGAAACAGAAGAUCGAGGAGGAUUUGAAGAGGAUCCAGCAGGGUGAGCGGACAGUUCAGGAGUAUGUUCGGAAGUUUACUAGGCUCCUGAACUGUGUUCCGUUCGUGGCCAGAGACGAGGCACAUAGGGUCUAUUUGUUCGAGCAGGGUUUGAGACCCGACCUAUUCAGGUUCGUUAGAGCGCAGAGGUCGAGGACUUUGGAUGCAUCCAUUGAGCAGGCAUUAUGGGAGGAGAGAGGAGAGGUGUCGCUGCGGGAGAGGGCUCAGGGGCCGGGACAGAGUCAGGACAGGAAGCGCCCAGCUCCAGACGACGGAGGUCAGGCGAGUAGCAGGCUCCCGCCGAGGCCUCCACGAUCGCGUUCGCAGGGUCGAGGAUCCUCGGGGCGUCAGCGAUCUAGGGAUUCUCGUCAGAGGGGACAGCCAGAGAGGAUGCCGUAGUGUGUGAUCUACGGAGGACCACACUGGCCCAGACAGUGCGAGCAGAGGGAGGGCCGGUGCUACGGAUGUGGUCAGCCGGGACACAUGAGGGCAGCUUGUCCUCGAGCAGCAUCUCCAGCACCAUCAUCAGCUUCAGCUCCACCAGCACCUCAGCGGUCAUUCAGAGCAGCACCCAGUUACCGCUAGGAGGAUAGAUCUUCCGUGCCGCGACAGGGUGAGCGGCGACAGCAGGCUCCGAGUGGCAGAGUCUAUGCAGUACAGGUGGAGGACUCUACGGCAGCCGACCGAGUGGUGGCAGGUAUCACUUUGAUUUUCGGCAUUCGUACUCGUACUCUUUUUAAUACUGGAGCCUCGCAUUCUUUUGUUAGCCGAGCAUUUGCAUUGUUGCAUGGUCUAGAGUUAGAGUCCUUAUCGCAGGCACGAGAGGUGCAGAUCCCCGACCAUGUCUUGCAGGUUACAGAGUGUUGUUGGUCCUGUCCGGUGCAGUUAGACUCUUGGGUUAUGCUCGCAGACCUGUUGGUGCUAGGGCAGCUGCAGGACUUCGACGUUGUACUAGGUAUGGAUUGGCUGGCGCGGUACUAUGCUACGAUCGACUGUGGAGCGAGAACGGUGACGUUCCGCGAGCCUGGCCAGGAGGAGUUUACUUUCAGAGGCUGCAGGAGUACGUUGUUUGCCACCUGGAUCUCUUCGGCGAGGGCUCGACAGCUGUUGAGUAGCGGGUGUAUCGCUUUUCUAGCGACUGUUGUGGAGGUACCUACGGCGGUGCCGGGACUCGAGGACAUCCCAGUAGUCCGCGAGUUUCCGGAUGUGUUUCUCCCUGAGUUGACGACGUUGCCGUCGGAGAGGGAGAUUGAGUUUGUGAUUGAUGUAGUUCCGGAAACUGCACCAAUCUCAAAGGUACCUUAUCGGAUGGCGCCGGCAGAGCUGAGAGAGCUAAAGGCACAGCUUCAGGAUUUGAUGGAUAGAGGGUUUGUGAGACCCAGUGUGUCGCCUUGGGGAGCGCCGGUGUUAUUUGUAAAGAAGAAGGAUGGUUCGCUCAGGUUAUGUGUGGAUUACCGGAAGCUGAAUAAGGUGACCAUCAAGAAUAAGUAUCCCUUGCCGCGCAUUGAUGAUUUGUUUGAUCAGCUGCAGGGAUCUUAUGUCUUCUUGAAGAUUGAUCUCCAGUCAGGUUACCACCAGCUGAGGGUGAGGGCCGAGGAUGUUCCCAAGACGGCUUUUCGGACUCGGUACGGGCAUUAUGAGUUCACGGUGAUGCCUUUUGGAUUGACGAAUGCCCCUGCCGCAUUCAUGGAUUUGAUGAACAGAGUGUUCAAGCCGUUCUUUGAUAGGUUUGUGGUAGUCUUCAUAGACGAUAUCCUGAUAUACUCCCGGAGUGAUGCUGAGCAUGAGGAGCACUUGAAGAUUGUGCUACAGCUUCUGCGAGAGAAGAAGCUGUAUGCCAAGUUGAAGAAGUGCGAGUUCUGGCUACGGGAGGUUGCUUUCUUGGGCCACGUAAUUUCAGCCGAGGGCGUAGCAGUGGACCCGAAGAAGAUCGAGGCAAUUCGAGAUUGGCCUAGACCGACGACGGUGACUGAGGUACGGAGCUUCCUGGGACUGGCAGGAUAUUACCGUCGGUUUAUGGAAGGCUUUGCGAAGCUUUCCACACCUCUCACACGCUUGACUCAGAAGGGGAUUCGUUUUGUCUGGAGUGAUGACUGUCAGAGGAGCUUUGACAAGUUGAGACUGAGGUUGACGUCGGCUCCUAUCCUUGCCUUUCCGGUGAUGGAGGAUGGAUUUGUGAUCUACAGUGAUGCAUCGCACAGUGGACUUGGUUGGGUGCUGAUGCAGCAUGGUAGGGUAAUUGCUUAUGCUUCACGGCAAUUAAAGGAUUAUGAAAAGAAUUACCCUACGCAUGACUUGGAGCUUGCCGCGGUGGUUUUUGCUUUGAAGCUCUGGCGGCAUUAUUUGUACCGCGAGCACUGCGAGGUCUUCACCGAUCAUAAAAGUCUCAAGUAUCUGUUCACACAGAGGGAGCUGAACCUGAGACAGCGCCGGUGGUUGGAGUUAUUGAAGGACUAUGACAUUAGUAUUCAGUAUCAUCCUGGCAAGGCGAAUGUGGUGGCAGAUGCGUUGAGCAGGAAGUCAGUGCAGAGCCUGAGUUUGAGGAUUACUGAGCAGAGACCCCUACUCGAGGAGCUACAGCGGCUGGGACUCGAGAUAGUACCCCCUGGGUCUACGGCGAGGCUGACGUCUCUAGUGUUGCAGCCCACUCUGUUGGAUAGGAUCCGAGAGAAACAGAGUGGAGAUCCGUACUUGUUGAGGAUUAGAGAGCAGCUAGACAGGGGGCAGGCUGAGGGAUUUGCUUUGGACAGUUCGGGAGUACUACGGUACAUGGACCGACUGUGUGUGCCCGUGGAUCCUGAGAUUCGAGCGAACAUUCUGAGAGAGGCUCAUUGUUCCCCUUAUACGGUUCACCCUGGGGGAACCAAGAUGUACAAGGAUCUUAAGGCACGGUUUUGGUGGCCUGGAAUGAAGAGAGACAUUGGCAGAUUUGUGGCUCAGUGUUUGACUUGCCAACAGGUGAAGGCCGAGCAUCAGGUGCCUGCUGGUAAGCUUCAGAGUCUGCCAGUGCCCGAGUGGAAGUGGGAGUACAUCACUAUGGACUUUGUCGUUGGAUUGCCUAGAGCGCAGGGUGGCUACGACGCAAUUUGGGUGAUAGUAGACAGACUGACCAAGUCUGCUCACUUCCUACCGUUUCAGACUACCUGGUCCAGAGAGAGACUCGCGCAGCUAUACUUAGAUGAGAUUGUUAGGCUGCACGGCGUGCCAGUGUCGAUUAUAUCAGACAGAGACCCGAGAUUUGUAUCACAUUUCUCGAGGAGUUUGCAGACAGCCUUGGGUACACAGUUGCAUUUUAGCACGGCGUUCCACCCACAGACAGAUGGUCAGUCAGAGCGGACUAUACAGACUCUAGAGGACAUGCUGAGGGCAUGCGUCCUGGAUUUUGGAGGAGGGUGGUAUCGACAUGUGAGACUAGUUGAGUUUGCGUACAACAACAGUUAUCAAACGAGCAUUCAGAUGGCUCCGUUUGAGGCGUUGUAUGGACGCAAAUAUCGAUCCCCCCUGUUUUGGAGUGAUGUGGGUGAGCGGAGGAUACUUGGACCGGAGAUCUUACUUGAGGCUGAGGAAAAAGUGAGAGUCGUCCGACGACACCUUCUGACAGCACAGAGCCGACAGAGGAGCUACGCCGAUACCAGGAGACGAGACUUGGAGUUUCAGGUCGGAGAUCAUGUUUUUCUCAAAGUCUCGUCGUCCAGAGGAUACGCCGAUUUGGAGUACGUGGAAAGCUUAGUCCACGGUUUGUUGGCCCGUUCGAGGUAUUAGAGCGUAUCGGACCGGUGGCUUACAGGAUAGCUCUACCCCCGCGACUUGCUGGCAUCCAUGAUGUUUUCCACGUCUCAGCACUGAGGAGAUACGUUUUCGACCCCUCUCACGUGAUUGACUUCACUCCACUCGAGAUUGGCGAGGAUCUGAGAUACGAGGAGCGACCGUUGCGGAUUCUUGCUCGUGAGACGAAAGUAUUGCGCAACCGGGUCAUUCCGUAUGUGAAAGUGCAGUGGAGCCAUCACGAGAAGCGGGAUGCGACUUCGGAGCCUGAGACGGUGAUGAGGGAAGCUUAUCCCUACCUGUUUGAUGCCUGAGCAGAGGUAUGUUUCAGUUUCGCGGACGAAACUUUUAUAGAAGGGGAGGAUGUGAGAUCCCUUGUGUUCAGCUGUGGAGGCUUGCCGACAGCUCUGGAGAGUGUCGGGACAAGUCCGAGUCGCGUUGGCGUCAAAUAGACGUAAAACGGACUCCGUGCGACGCGAGGGCAGCUUAUAGCGAAGAAAUCUGCAAAACUGCAGAUUUCUCUGCUUGCUGUACUGGUACAACCAGCGUGGCUGUACCGGUACAACCAUCGUGCAGAGGAUUAGCAGCUCUCGGGUUGGCUCUUGUACCGGUACAAGAGCCCGUGUACCGGUACAAGGGGGUAGGUAGAGGGUUAAUUUGGUAAUUCCCUCCCUCAUUUGUUUCACCCCUCACUCCCUUCUAUGUAGCUUCAUGUAGAGAGAGAGAGAGAGAGAGAGGUCUUCUUGAUGCAAUUCUCCCUCUCUCACUCUCACUCUCAUCCAGUUGAAGGCUUAGGAGCUCGGUUGGAGUUUUGUCGCCGACGUCGCGCCGCGAGGCCGUUCGAGCUUGUGUUUGAGGCCGGGGUAGCACGUGGAGGCCGGGCGAGCAGGGAUUUUCGCCAUUCUUGCUGUCACUCGGGUGCUCGGUGUUGUCGAGGUGGGUAUUUCAUUAAUUCCUUGAUUUUUAGGCAAGUGUUUACUAUUUCUACUCGGAUAGUUAUUGUUUGCUGAAAUCCACCGUCGACUGUUAGUAUUUUAGCUCAUUCUCGACGUAGGAGCAUCGGAUUGCGACGAGACUUGGUUCGUUGGAUUCGGGACUUCGAGAGGAAUCCACUAAGCCCUUACCUGUGGUUUUUAGUGAAGGUUAGCUUGGUCGAAACCCUUCUCUUCUCUGCUGCUGUAUUUUUGGACUGAAUUGGGAAUUUUCGACGUUGAUAGCUUCGAGUUAGCGCGAUUCUUGGGUUCGAAGGGCUACGAUCGACCCAGCAGGUGGCGCCACAGCUAUGAGAGUAUACCGCUGCCAGGGGAUACCUUUCGAGGUGGGUUUACAUCGGUUUAUUCCUAAGUACCGUAAUCGUCGACAUGUAUGAUUUUUCAGUUUCGGUAAUCAUGUUGUAGCUUGAUAUUCGUGAUGCUAUCCUUGAUAAAAUCAGUAUUGAGAAUAUGACUAGUAAAUCUUAAAUGUACAUGUUGGACUAGGAUUUGACUUAGGAGAAAACACGAUUGGAAUCGUCAUAUACUUAAACUACCAGAUUUAGCUCUAGGAGCCGUGAUUCGAUUGUAUCGUUGCAGUAGCAGUGCGAUGAAUACCUGGGGUAGUUUAGAAGGCAUUUACGCUCGUGCUGGGAUGCCGAGCUUAUUUUUCAACAGAGUUUAGGCUGUUUCGGGUCGUUCGGUGCCGUUCGGGUUAGCGGUGGACCCAGAUUAUUGUUUUGGUCACAGAUUGUGCCGAGGGCACGGGGGUUUGGUUUGUAGACCUGUUUUGACCCUGUUCACUUGACUUUGGAUAGUUGGAGCCUGAUUGAGCUCGACAGAGAUACGCUGCAUACUCGGUUGGGUAGCGCCCACGAGUGCCACUCCGGAGUCAGGCUUUGUGCUUUCGCGUUUGUGUCGCUCAUGCCAGUUGGACUUGCUCUCCACGGACCAGUUAGUGUGGAUAGAGCCCGAUAGUCGCAACCGGGCAGGGACGGAUGUAUUCACAGUCCCGGGGACGGGUAUGCUUACAGUCCCGGUUGGAUUGGGUCAGAUUUGACAUUUCCUACAGUUGGUUAGUGUAGAGCAUGAUAGUGUAGUGAUCGAUAGCGGUAGAGUUACUUCAUGCUUUUCUGACUACUCUCGCUCCCUUCUGUAGACUUAGUGGGUGGACCGAUGUUGUUUUGGGCGGUACCCACUGAGGACUACUUCUUUUUACAGUAGUUCUCACGCCCAGUUGUUAUCCAUGUUUUUGCAGAGCCACAGGUUUCGGCUGCUGCGCCUUCCGCGGAUCACGAUCGAGGCAAGGGCGUCGCGAGUUAGAGCCCUACCCAUCGUGCUGAGCUAGAGAUGCCCCUACUGCAGGUAGAUGUUUUGUUUCGAGUUUCUGUACAUAGUAGACUUAACUCGCCAGUGCGAGUAGCUCUGUAUUUUGGAUUUGGACUAUGUAUACGAAACUCAGUUUGUUUAGCUUCUGUUUUCUCUAGCAGCUCUCUACUACUGUUCGUAGUAGUGUUUGAUUUACAGGUACAGCUGUCGCUUCGUAUACAGGAAAAAUUUCUUUGUAUACGGCGGAUUUGUCGGCGUGCCCGGGGAACGGGACAUCCGGGGCGUGACAGUGUCGGCGUAUUUUGGAUUUGGACCAUGAAUACGAAACUCAGUUUGUUUAGCUUCUGUUUUCUCUAGCAGCUCUCUACUACUGUUCGUAGUAGUGUUUGAUUUACAGGUACAGCUGUCGCUUCGUAUACAGAAAAAAUUUCUUUGUAUACGGCAGAUUUGUCGGCGUGCCCGGGGAACGAGACAUCCAAGGCGUGACAGAUUAAGUUUGUAUCAGAGCUUUGCUAUAGGUCGUUAGGACCUAGGAAACCUAAGUUUGGCAAACCUUAGGAAAGCAAGACGCGAGAGGCGUAAUUUAUUGCGAAAGUCAAUGAUUAUUUGUUCUAACUCCUCCUAGAGUUGAGUGAGUGACUGAAAGAGUGUCUGUUUUGGCCUGAGAAAUUAUGUUGGCUGCAGACGACAUAAUUUUGGAGGGAAACAGGGACCGCCUUCCAGACUUUCGUUGAUUGGGUCAAGAGUGUUUUGUUUCAACUGACCCCGAUCUAUUCCUUGCAGCUAUGUAUCGUCGCCGAGGUCGACCGUCGUUGCGAGAGCGUGCCCAGUUGGCGCGGGAUCGUGCGGGAUCCCCUGAGAGACCUGAGCAGAUGGAGCAGAGUACUCGGCAGGAGCAGGGUGACAGACCAGAGGCGAGUGCACCUCGAAUGGUAGAGCAGAGGGCCCGACCGGAGGCUAGCGCAUCCCCUGAUCUUAGUGCACAGUUGGCUGCCCUGACUGAGGUGACGAGGCAGCAGGGGGAGUUAUUGCAGAGGUUGUGUGAGAAGAUAGCUCAGCCACCGAGUUCAGUACCGAGAGUACCAGAGUCGCCAGUUCCACCCCCGAUUACUCCAGUGACCGCACUAGCUGCAGCAGUUCCUCCGUCGGCAGCAGUUCCAGUAGCGCCAGUUGCGUCUGCUAGUGAGUAUUACGGGCAUGGCUCAGGCUUUUCGGCAGAACCCUUGUAGGAGCCGGGAGUGGGAGUCGACCACCAUUGGACUGACCUCUAGUUAGAAGUUCUUCUGUAUUCUAGGGACGUCGACUAGUUUGUUUAGUAGUUACGCGCCGUUCCCUAUGAAUAAGAACUACCAGUGGAAUAAGUCGAAGGCCAUUAGGUGUGUAUUGGACUCGCUUGGUAGGAAGAAGAAAUGUUUAUUGUGGCCGCGAGGGGUUCCGCUGUGUGACCCAGAGUGUUUGGGAGAUAGGUAGUUUAGGACUUCGACACGGAAAUCGAGAGAGUCGAGACGGCCGCGGUAGGCUAUUCCAUGGAAACUCUAACCACGUCAAAGGCCUUGAUGUAGUUAGUGUUUGAGUUAGAGGGAGAGGCUGCCGUUGCAGCAGUUGAGUCCCUCUUUGUGUAGGCCUUUGAGCGCCUGAUGACCCUACAGGAGCUCAGGGCCGUGGCGGCAUCCAUGGAGGUGUUGUCAGCGAUCUUUUCGCUAUGUGGGCGAUGAGUUGUCGACAGCUCGGGAGCGGCUUCUCUAGGUCCACCGUUUGUUGCAUGAGGACGUCGGAGACUUUCAUUUGAGGAGGACCGGUCCGAGCGCCUUGCAGUGGCAAGAGCGAGGUGUCAGCUAGCAUCGUAUCAUGGCGCGGUCGGUUAGGUAUGGAUCAUGUUGCAGCUUCAGGACGUCGACGGGAUCGUGGUUGUCCAGACGCUCGUAUUGGGUUCUCAGAUUGACGUGGCCUGUCCUGGUUGUUGUGAGACAUUGGACGUUCUGUACCAGCCCCUAGACGUGGAGAGCACGGACGCUAUUCCUGAGAUUGAGAUCUGGUACGUUGUUACGUUUACGAGCCGAUUGUUUUCUUACGCUCCGAGGUCAUAAUUUUUCUCAUGCUCAUGCUUACGGCUUUUAGUUUCACUAUGGACGGUGGUGAGCCAGCCGACGGCAUCUCAGGAGGUGGACAUGACGUAUCUGAGACGGUGAGCCUCGGACGACAGCGGCGAGUGGGACAGCGCCGUGCCUUCUAGAUAGGAGGAUCGCCAUUGACCCACGACGAGACUUACUGGCGACUCCACGACCACCUCGACUUCGACUACUACCACGACCUCUACGACGAGCUCCUGUUCGACGGGAGUACACAGGGCCGACUGGUGUAGGCAUCGUGGCCGGGAGGGAGACGAGCGUGACAGACCCGGUCACACCAGGAGGCAUCUAGUGUGUGAUGCCGUAGGAGAGACCGACAGGGGAGACUGCUCUUAGGGAUCUAGCGACUGCGGGGCUCCUAGGAGCUGGGACGCUUGCGCUAGCACCUCCGGAGCCGCCCUCGGACGAUGAGCGGACUGGAGGCAGCAGACCUCGACCCGCGAAGGACAGGACUGAGACAGGGCCGGGGACUCGGGAGAGGGCGUCGCUGUGGAGAGGAGAGAGGAGGGUAUUACGGACGAGUUACCUACGUAGGUUUCAGGAGCUGGAGACGCGAGAUUGCUUGGACUUAUCCAGCCCAGAGUUUGGGACGAGCUUGUUUAUCUGGGAUACACGGAGCAGAGACCGGUGCUUGCCUUGUGUCAAGUCCUCGGAUCAUUUGAAGGCUUGUAUGAGGACUUGACAGGCGAGUGGGACGACCUAGGAGAAGUUUAGGAGGAGCUAGAAGACAAAGUACGACAACCCCUUUAUGUAGGGUAUGUCGUAAGGUGUCUUGAGUAGGGUGGAGUUGACACAGCGGUGGUCAGGGACCAGAGCGGAGCGAGACGCGGUGAUUAGUACACGUAGUGGACUGUCUGUCACAUGAGGGUUUCCAUGGACGAGGGUGAGACCUUGCUUGUCUAAGAACUUAUUGAAGAGGUAGCGUGACUGGAUAGGGAGUUGUUAGGUCCGGAGUCACGGAGACAGCAGCUUCUAGCCACCCAGUUUAGCUGCUUUUGCACGAUUGGAGAGGCAGGUCGCGAGGACGAGCCGGAGUCAGUUGCCAUGAGCGGGGNACGAGUGCCACUCCGGAGUCAGGCUUGUGCUUUUGCGUUGGUGUCGCUCAUGCCAGUUGGACUUGCUCUCCACGGACCAGUUAGUGUGGAUAGAGCCCGAUAGUCGCAACGGGGCAGGGACGGGUGUAUUCACAGUCCCGGGGAUGGGUAUGCUUACAGUUCCGGUUGGAUUGGAUCAGAUUUGACAUUUCCUAUAGUUGGUUAGUGCAGAGCAUGAUAGUGUAGUGAUCGAUAGCGGUAGAGUUUACUUCAUGCUUUUCUGACUACUCUCUCUCCCUUCUGUAGACUUAGUGGGUGGACCUAUAUUGUUUUGGGCGGUACCCACUGAGUACUACUUAUUUUUACAGUAGUUCUCACGCCCAGUUGUUACCCAUAUUUUUGCAGAGCCACAGGUUUCGGCUGCUGCGCCUUCCGCUGAUCAGGAUCGAGGCAAGGGCGUCGCGAGUUAGAGCCCUACCCGUCGUGCUGAGCUAGAGGUGCCCCUACUGCAGGUAGAUGUUUUGUUUCGAGUUUCUGUACAUAGUAGACUUAACUCGCCAGUGCGAGUAGCUCUAUAUUUUGGAUUUGGACUAUGUAUACGAAACUCAGUUUGUUUAGCUUCUAUUUUCUCUAGCAGCUCUCUACUACUGUUUGUAGUAGUGUUUGAUUUACAGGUACAGCUGUCGCUUCGUAUACAGGAAAAAUUUCUUUUUAUACGGCGGAUUUGUCGGCGUGCUCGGAGAACGAGACAUCCAGGGCGUGACAAAACCAAAUUAGGUACCAUAUGAAAGAUUCAAUGUUUUAGAAUUUGAAAUCGAUAAUUCAAAUUGGUUGGAUCAGGUUGCACAUCCAAAAAAAACAGACUUUCGAAAAAAAAACCUUUUUUUUAAUUUUUCGCCCGUUGGGUUUGAAGAAAAAUAAGUAUUUUUAAAAAUCUUAUUUUCGUAUUUCAAAGAAAAUUAGCACUUUCUUUUCCUAAUUUUUUUUUAGAGAAACGAAGAUACUAGUUUUCCAUAAAAUAUUGGAAAAAAGUAUUUUCAUAAAAUAUUUUUUUUGUUAAAAUCAAAAGGACGAAAAUUUGAAAGAACAGUUUUUUAUGAAAAAAAAAUUUCUUCUUAAUAUUUUUUUUAUAUUUUUUCGAAAACCGAAUAAUUUCUAAGUGUGUGUUUGGAUUGAGUACAAGAGGAGGGAUAAGAGGGUUAUCCCCCCUCGUGUACCAAAACACCAUUUGGGUGGGUGGGAACAAGUUGUUCCCACCCAAUACUUUGGUGGGAACAACUUGUUCCCACCCCCCGGGUUGAUUUUUAUUUUAAGUUUAAAUUUAAAUUUUUAAAAUUUAUAAUUUAAAAUUAUAAAUUUUAAAGUUUAAAUUUUAAAUUUUAAAUUUUAAAUUUGAUAUUUUUAGUUUUUAAAUUUUAAAUUUGAUAUUUUAUAUCUUUGAAAUUUAAAUUUGGUCCUAAAUUUAAAUUUUGAUAUUUAAAAUUAAAAUUUUUGAAAAUUAGAAUUUUAAAUUUUAAAAUUUAAAAGUUAAAAUUUUUAAUUUAAAAUUAUAAGUUUAAAAUUUAAAUAUUCAAAUUCAAUUAUAGGAAUAAUAUCAUUAUUUUUUAUUUAUAACUAACAACUAUUCCUCUUAUUCCCAAUAACCAAUCAAAUACAAUUUUUCUAGUUCCAGCUUAUACUCACAUUUUCAUCCAAAUAAAAAAGCACGCUUGUUCUUAAAAAAGUUCAUACUUAUACCUAUCCCCGAUAUAACUAGUUCCUACUAAUUUCCGAACCAAACGGCGCCUUUCGCUAUUACUUCUCCGUUCCAACACGUGGGACUUUCGCUGCGAUCCAUUAGAGAUACUCUUUACUUCCCUCAUCCAAAACAAAUAAGGCAAUGUGUAAGCCGUGCAAAUUUAAGUUCACUUUUUGGUAACUCAAAAUCAAUGCAAUCAUGCAAUUCUCCAUGUAAUGUGUUAAUAACUUCAACUUCAACAGGUGCAAAAUACAAGUGCGCGUAGUUAUCAUGGUACAUGUUUAUAUUAAAUAGCUUAUAGAAUUAUGAUGGUGAUUUUAAAAAUAACAGGUGAAUCAUGAGUAGCACGUUUGGAGAGGGAAAAAAAGUGAAAAAGUACAAUCCGGAAAGAAAAUAGUUCGCUUGAUGAAACCAAGUGAAUUCAACUACUACCCUAAUUAAUUAACACGACAAAGGUUUCUUCUCCUGUCAAAUCGUUGAUUAAGAAUUUAUAUCAAUGAUUGCAUAAUACUAUUGAACUUGAUCUGAAAUAUUUUGAAAUAAUCUAAAAAAUCAAAUUAGUAAUAUUUUGAAAGUUAUUUAUAAUAAACAAUUUUUUAUAGCCCAUGUAAAUCAUUUGACUAUAUCACGGCAUAGAACGAUCCAAAUCGAUUAAUUUGAUUUUUUUUUUUUUUUUUGAUUUCUAUCUUCAUCAAGUUUUAUGAUCCCAAUCUUGUUGAGAUCGAGGCUCUAGUCUUUAUUUUCACAAUAUUAUUCAGAUUUAACCAUCGUUUUUCGAUCUUUGAUGCACUAGAUAAUGACUAAAAAUUUGUAUAGUUUUGAUUUAUGAAUAAUUGAAAUAUUCUAAAUUAUAUUUGAUGGUACUGAUUACCAUCUCGUACUUCCGAUUACUAAAGGCAACUUGACAAAAUUAAUGAAAUAGUAGGUGGGUUGGCACUAAACAGGAAAAAGGAGGGAAAGAGGUUGAAUAAUGUAGAAGCAUGAUUUGCUCUGAUACCACUUGUUGAAAACGUGAUUUUCUCUGAUAUCAAUUGUUGGAACUGAUAUUUGUGCUAAUACCGAUUAUAUAACCCAAGAUCUAAAAUCGAACAAAAUAAUAUGAAGAAGAGAUAUUGGAGGAUGAAAAAAUAACUAAACUAAUACUUUAUUAAUAAAAAGCAAUUAAUUACAUUCUGGGCAACACCCAUACAACCAUAUCUACUAUGGCUUUUCAUCUAUUAACCCAUGCCUAACUAUAUUUCGAUGGUGGAUAAUAUUACACACAUUUUGUCACGCCCCGGGACCGGCGAAGGCCCUCCCGGUAGCGUGCCCAGACCCGCCAUAUGUCUACACAUAUAAGGCGUCUAGAAUAAAAGCGGAAGUAAAAGCAAGUAGUAUGACAAAUAGAAAAAGUGAAAUAACUAGCAACUAAUGAUAUCAGAGCAAGUAAGGUUCUAUCAUCUAUACCAAAGUAAAGAAAAUAAAGCUAGUCAACCAAAGAUAACCAUAAGUAGUACAAUAACCGUCUCUAGAACAAAAAUGGUGGUCUCUAUACAUAUACGGGUACAACUCUCAACCUCUCACAAAAAAAAACCACGAGAGGCAGACCACCUAUCGAACGAUCCCUCGGUAAACGCGCUAGCCCGAGGCGAUACCCUUUUCGUGAUCCCUGGCCUCUCCCUGCGUGGAAGGCUCUGAAAAACAACGAGAAAAAGAGGGCGUGAGAACUAUAAUUUAUAGUUCCCAGUGGGCAAUUACUGACCUCAACUCUAUGCACCACUAGACCCCAAAAGAAAAGGGUAAGUACAAUAAUAAUAGCAAUACUGACUGCGAUAUAAGGCAUAAUUAAAAUGCUAAAUUACUAAACUCAAGUAUAAACGAUGUCAUGGUGAUGUACAUCUGCGAUAUCAUAAUAGUAUGUCCAAUGGCAAUAGCUGAGUGUCAUUAACCUUAUCAAUACAUGAUGCAUAAGUUCUGUCAUGGCAACCAAGUAUGCUUUAAUGCAAUAAAAGACUAUCAAGUAUACUGCAUGUCUCAACACUAUGCUAAAAGCAUAUAAAUGUAAUUCAACUACUAAACCUAACUAGUAGUGAUUAACCAUUCUCAACACCGUGUCGAUUUCCAUUCCAAUCAAGGACCUACCCAAGGAUAGUCCAGCUUGUGCCGCCUAAGUGCCUGUGGUAGCCCAACAUCCCUACUCUUGGAAUGUGUCUGUCCCACUCGACCCCGUAGGCUUCUCAAUACCGCACGAGCGAACAUAAGUCGCGUAGGCUAACUCCGGAGUGCCGGCUUGUAGGGAGCGACCCUCACAAGCAUGUGCGAAUGAACACAAUUGGCAAGCAAGCAUAGUCCAAGUCUCAAAUAUCCAAUCCUCAUGUCUCUAACAUGGUAUGGUCACUAGCAUCCCGAAGAUCUAGUUUAAGUCACAAUGUGAAGUUUCAACAUUUGCUACGCCUAGUGCCCCUUGAUGACACUUAGGCAAUUUGAUGUUCAACAUGUAUUCCCAAAUUCCUCAAUGGCCCUAUCCGCUAGGUUCUCACAUAUCCCGAGCUCAAUGCCGCUUGAUGACAUUAACUCUCUAGUUCACAUACCUUCUAAAUGGCAAUUUUAUCAACUUUCAUGCCACAAGUAAACUUAAGUUUAAAUGCAUGAAUCCGAACUCAUUUACACUAUAGAAGCAUGAAACCAAGUCUCAUAAAGAAUGCUAAAUGCAACCAAAGAUCUCCCAAGCAACUCUCUACUACAUAGAGGUCCAAAAUUUCAUCAUAUGUAACAUAUGCAUUUUAAGCAUUCUAAAAAUCAUAAUAAAUACAUUUAGUAUGAACAUGCAUGCUUUUUCAAUUUACGGAGCAUAUAUAACCAUAUAUGAGGAUUUCUCAUAUGUAGGCUAGGUCAAAUCCACCGAACCGUCGCGUAGGGUCUCGAUCCGCCGAACAAAGUUGUCCCCGAGUCUCAAAAUACCCUAAAAGUAUUGAGCGACAAGAUACAAGGGCAUUACGAUCAACUAUGAGAUCAAACAUUAACAAAUUUAGCAAAAGGGCUAAAACUCACCCAAUGAGUGAAAAAUCUCUCUCAAGCUCCAAAAGAGAGCUAAAUCCCUUCCAAUCCAAGCCCAAGAAAGGUUCUAAACCAACUAAUUAAGCUCCAAAAGCCCUAGAUUCAAAACGCCCAAAAUAAGCCCUAAAACCUCAUUCUAGGGUUUCAUCUCAAACCAUCAACAAAAAUCCAAUCUAAAGGGAGAGGAUAAGUGGACUACCUCUUAGAAGCUUCAAUCUAAGCUCUAAACUCUUGAAAUCCCAAGAUCUUCCCUCAACAAUCCACCAAGACCAAGCUCCAAGCUUCACAAUGGUGGAAAAGCAAAGAAAAGGGAAAAGAGAAGGAUCAACACUUAAAUCGCAAGCUAAAAAGAGAUCAAAUCCAAAGGGGGUGAAGGGGAGAGGUGCCCUAUCUUUCCUCCUGCAGUGGUGAGCUCAAAGGAGGGCCCUAGAGGCGUGGGUGCUGAUAUAAGAGACCCACAAACGCAAAAACACCCCUGCAGUUCAAACUGCACAAAAUCAGCCUCCUUAUACCGGUACACGGGCUCUUGUACCGGUACAAGGUCCACGAAAAUGCAAACCCGAGGCUCGGGUCGCGGGGUCUGCGGCUCUAUACCGGUACAAGCCCGAUGGCUGUACCGGUACAACCAUCAAUCCUUGUACCGGUACAAGACCAAUCUUGUUCCGGUACAAGCUCUGCUGCAGGCUAACCCGAGAGCUGUCCAAUGAAUCCAAAUUUUGGAUUUUGGUACCAAGCUUAAAACCACAAUUCUCGGGACUCGAACCAUAGUCGGAACACUGUCAACGACCCACCAGAAAGUCUGGAAAAGCUCGACACACAGAUCAAACACUCGAACCUCGCAAUUUGCAAAGGCCCAGUGUGUUACACAUUUAUAGCCAUCUAUAUAUAGGCAUAAAUCAAAAUCCUAAUAACAAUAAUUGAACCAAAUUUAAACUUAUCUCUUAUGUCUAAUCAACAAAAUAUUAAGAGAUAAACUUGACAGAAAUAAAUCUAAACUAAUCAAAAAUAUUGGGUUACUUAUCAAAAUCCUCCAUUAACCCAAUUUUUCGAUGUAAGCGGCUUCGUAAAUAUAUCACUUGAUUCUCGUUUCUACAAAAGUGUAGUUCGAUCUCGUUCUUCUUCACACAAGUUCUCAAAUAUAAUGAUAACGGACUUCAAUAUGUUUACAUCUUUCAUGAAAAAUUAGAUUUUUUGCGAUUGCUGUAGCCUAGCUAUUAUCACAAAAUAUUUUUGUAGGUGCCUUUUGACUUUCACCAAAUUCUUCGAGAACUCUUCUAAGCCAAAUUGCUUGUAUAGCGCUUGUUGACGCCGCCACAUAUUCGGCUUAUGCUGUCGAGAGAUUUACGAUAUCAUGUUUCUUCGAUGACCAUGUGAAUGCGCCGCUUGCAAGAAAAAAUACGUUGCCUGAUGUGCUUUUCCGUUCUUAUAUGUUGUCUGCCCAAUCGCUAUCAGUGAGUCCGAUUAGUUCGGAUUUGCCACCGUAAGCGUAAAAAAUACUAUAGUUAACCAUUCCUUUUAUAUAGCGUAAAAUACGCUUUGCUGCCCGUAGAUGCAUCUAAAUCGGCUUUUCCAUAUAUCUGCUGAUCAACCCAACACCAUAGGCUAUGUCAGGUCUAGUUGCGGUUGAGUAGUGCAGGCUACCCACCAACUGUUUGAAAUAUGUAGGAUUAACGAGCUUUCCAUCUCCUUUCUUGUUGAGCUUUAAUCCAAUCUCUACUGGGGUAACGACCGGUUUACAAUCCACCAUCCAAAACUUUUCAAGUAUUUCUCCUGUAUAUUUCUUUUGAGAAAUAAAAUACUUUGAUUUUUUUGUGAAACUUCGAUGCCCAGAUAAUAAGCUAUAUAGCCCAUAUCGGUCAUCUCAAACUCAUUAGUCAUGCUCUUUUUAAAUUCAUCAAAUCAUAACAGAUGAUAAAUCCAAUUUUACUUUGGAUAAUUACAUAUCCUAAUCAUAAUCAAAUAAAAAAUUUAAACUUAUCUAUAACUAUAUUUUAAUUAAGUUUGAAUUAUUAUUUCCAACAUCCUCCCUUAAUCCAAACCUCAUCUCCAACUUACAAAUUCCGUGAAACGCGCACUUUGAUUUUGCAAUCUAUGUUGCUGUUGUUGUCGUCGUGUUUGAGUUAUGCAACAUGACGCAUGUCCAAUGAUGUUGCCAUGCACGAAAUUUUUGCCAUCUGUAGUUGUGAUUAUUCACAUCAUCCUUAUAGAUAUGUGAAUUCCUGCAAAUAUCUUGAAAAACAUGUAUUUUUGAAAAAAUUGCAUCGAUAUGAAUUUUGUAAUUUUGUAGUAGACGAGGAAAGUCUAAUCGACACGGAUGUUUGUUCGAUACAUUGAUCUCGUAUGAAUUUUCAUGUGCUUUCUACUUUCGUAAGUCUAAUUUGUGAUUUGCAUCUUCGAUCACAUCAAAAUAAUGGUAAACUUCCUUCCUACUUUGCUGUAUAAUUUCUUUAUCAAUAGAAAUUUUUUCAAUCAUAUUAUCAUAGUGAACUUUCUCGUCGAUCUAAGCUGCACCGUUUUGAUCAUCAAUAUACUCUGCACGAAUAUGAUCUUCUUCAUAAUUUGAUAAAAUUUUUCUUUCCAAAUUGGGGUUUCUGUAUUUUCGCUGUUAGGUUGAAUUUUUUCUUCUUUUUGAAUUUCAUUCUCUUCCUGCAAAUAUUCUCCUCCAAUUUUCGAUAGCAUUUUGCACGCUUCUCGUAUCGUCUUUAUCGUUAAAAUUUUUUCAACGAACGAUAGAUCCACUGCUUGAAAAAUAUAUGAUAAAACUUCUCUAUCUCCUUUUCUCAAUUCUUAUUUACCAAAUUCUUUUCAUAAUUUUCAUUCUCUACUACAUCCCAUAAAUCUUGAGAUUCUAAAAAAUAUCGAAUGAU
rnacentral:lncRNA from 1 species